UUUUUUUUUUUUUUUUUUGGUGACUCUCAUAAAAUCCAUAGAUAUUCACAACAAACCAAUUUCAACAAACCCUAAAGAGAACUAUGUACAUAAAAGACAUGUCUCUAGAAACAAAAGCUAACGAGAAACUACUGUUCAACUUACUUUUCAUGGUUUAUAAACUUUAAGAAAGAUUAAAAAAAUAUAACAAGAUAUAUAUACACACCUUAUAUAGGACAUUAUGUAAUGGGAUAAUGAAGAAUAAGUUCAAUAAACUUUAAUGUACCCAAUCUACCAUAAACUUGAGUUCACUCAAAACCUUUAAGAAAAUGGACAAAUAGAAAUAUAAUCAAGCAAACAUAAUCAUUUUGUUAGGUACAUGCAAGAUAAACUAUUUCACACCAACAUAUAUAAUCAGUAUACAAAUGAAAUCUUUGAGUUUCACAAGCUAAACUCAAUUUAAACUUUGAACUAACAAGUCCAAACAAUUUUCAUUGUAAUUCAAUAGUUAAAAACGUACCUUGGAGCCCUUCCAACCCUAUCAAAAAAACAUAUAAGUCUAGCACUUUAACAAAUUUCUAGUGCAUAUUAUGCAUCUCAAUUGAUCACAACAAAAUAAGAUUGAACAUAAAUACUCAUAAGUAAUACCUUUUCAAUGUUGCAUUUUCAUAAAAAUUCAACAAGCAUUGUCACUCUCUCGAGGAUUCUUCAAGCCCUAAGUAUGAAAAAAUGUUCAAUGAUUAAAUCGUACUCCAUUUACAUGACAAUUUGACAAAGUUGAGUUAACCCCCCCCCCCCCCCCAAUUUCCAACACUAUUGUUGGAAAGGAACAACAAGAUCUUUCAAAGUAAGGAAAGAACUACUAUGAAGAUUUUAGAUGAUAUUAAUUCAAGCAAACGUUUAUAUACUACUAAUAUACCAUACUAAUUCGACUAAAACACUUUCAACGAGACUAGAAUUAUACAAAAUAUACUUUAAACCACAAUAGUUGAAUAUGUAUUUUUGGUAGGGAGGUAGACACUACUUACUUGAACAAAUAACGACAACGUCCUUGAAGUAAGAGGACUUUCUGCUAAUCCUCAAUUCAAUCAAUUAUUCAAAAUGUCAUAAGGUAGUCAUAGGAAGAAAAUAUAGUUUAAAAACGUUGAUAAAAAGUGGAGGUAAAAAAAGUGUAUAGGCUUAAGUUUCAAAAACUUAAAGCCAAAAACCAAAUAGAUAACAUACAGAAAUUCUCUUGGAAUGUGUAUAGGCUUAAGUUUCAAACUUAAAGCCAAAAACCAAAUAGAUAACAUACAGAAAUUCUCUUGGAAUGUGUAUAGGCUUAAGUUUCAACAUACACAUUCAUACCUUUCCAAUGUGUAUAACAUACAUCGCGGUUUAUGUUUCAAGCAGAGGGUGUAUUUCGACAUUUUCAAAUUUACUCCUCUUGGAAAGAUCUAGCAUGGUAAGUGGCAAAUAAAAUUCUACCAUACAAAAUAAAUCUUAAUUCACCAUCAUUUUUUUGUCUUUCCUUUCAAUAUAGAACAUGUAGUAAUUUUUGUUGCUACUAUCCUUAUUGUAAGAAAGGGAGAGAGAACAUACCUAUAAUUAUCAAUAAUCACUUCCCUCUAUCCUUCAAUCAAAGCAACUCAAUAGCAACCAUAAACAAAAUAUCAAUAGAAAAAUCAAAAGUACUAAAAUUCACUUGGAAUGCAUAGACAAACAAAAAGACCCUACACACCAUCAAAGUUUAAAAUCUCACAUUUCAUUUUUCAUUCUCUUUUUCUCAAAGCUUCAGCCCAUAGCCAUGACAUCUCCUUGGCCUUGAUUUCCUAAUUCGAACGAAAAAAAUCAAUCAAAAAUCAACCAAAUGCUUCAUUGAGGCAUUUCAUCAAACACAUUGUAAGCUACCAAAAUGUUUCAUCACAUAGCCAACCAUAAAGAAAAAAUGUAGAUUCAAAUUAGAAAAAUGAUUGUAAACAACAAUAUUGAAUAGGAUGGUAGACAAAACAAACACAUAUCUCAUAUAAAAGCAAAACUAUGAGGGAUGUUUUUCAUAAAAAGAACCAUCAAUAUAUCACAUUGUGGGUAAAAUGAAAGCAUUUGAAGUUAAUAUACUGUAUAAAUACAAACAAUAGAAAUAAUGGUUGAGAUUCACCAGUGAGUUCAGCGGUGCAAGGGGUGUUGGGUGGUUGCGUCGGCUGAAGGAGAGAAAGAGAGGGAUUUCGCGCAUUGUUGACAAAAGUCUAGUCUUUCCCGGCAUGCGUGAGAGAGGGAGAGAGAUGGUUAGCGGAAGGGGGAAAAUCGAAGAGGGGGACGUGUGGAUCUUCCACAGAGAAGAAAAGAAGAAGAGAAGAAGAAGAGAAGAAGAAGAAGAAGAGGAGGAGGUAGAGAAAGAGUUUUGGAGAUGUUUUAUUUUAAUAAAUAAAUUAUUUAAUGUUUUUAGAAUUAGGAAAAAAUCUGAUUUUAAUAAAUUUUUAUUUAAAAUAAAUUUUAUUUUAAUAAAUUAAAUAAAUAUUUUUUGUAUUUUAUGACAUCAAAUAACUGUUGCGGAAAGUAAAAUCCGAAAAAUUCCGUCUUUUUCCGCCAAAAACGCGGUUUUUUAGCUUUUGUGACAGUUUUUUCUUUUCUCCUUUCAAUUUGGGAUGUAUACAACUGUCAUAGUAGACCACUUUUCUACUAGUGCCACCACCCAAAAUUAGAAUAGAUCAUAAUUCUAGCCCAAAUUUCAGGUCAAUCAAUUUCAAAUUUAUAAAUUUUAAAAUCCAAAACAUAUCAUCAAGCAAAAUUAUUUUAUUAUUAUUAUUAUUAUACAUAUGAAAUAUCAAUAAAUAAAUCAUUCUUCGGGAAACAGUUAAAAAUAGAAAAGCAUUUACACUUGAAAAUGACAAAAUACUCUCCAUUCUCUAUUUGUCAUCUUUUAUUUAUAACAGCCUUAACAUUAAUAUCUAAUUUUAAUAAAUACCUAUUAUUCUCUAUGCUCUAUGAUUUCAUUGUAUUAUUUGUCUUGUCUUGGACAAGUUUGCACGGUGCUUUCUCUAUUAUUUUCUGAGUUCCCAAUCCUUCUUCUUGGGACGUGGCUCCGACCACAUAGAAGUGCUCUAGGAGCUAGUUGUGGAUUGAAUCAUGGGGUUUUUUUUUUCUCUUUGUAACCAUUAAAAUUUAGUAGAUUCAAACCUUCAAUCUCUAAAAUAUAAUAUUGAAAGAGCCUAAGCUUGCCAUUUUGAAAAAUGGACAUUUAGCAAAUCUAAAAAUAAACUUAAAAAUAAUAAACAAACCUUGGUUAGAAUUCUCGUCUAAGUGAAACGUUGAGGUAUAUUGUUUCCCCAUUUUAACAAAUACUUACUUAAUUAUUGAACCUUAAAAUUUGGACUUAGAAAAUGGAUGGUUAUAACUAAGCAUCUUUAGUUUACGGAUUUGACGAAAAAAGUGGAAUUGGGAUUGGAUACGAAAAUUAUAUAUAUGUAUAUAUUGAGUUAAUUAGUAGUCUUAUCUGUUAGAUUGCAUAUUAUGGCAAAUCAAGAGGUAGCAAACGUGGAAGUUGAGAUGAGAACUUCGGGAUUACGUAUUGUGGAAGUGAAGGAAGCAAAUAUAGAUUGUAUAUUCUGUCUUAUUUGUUAGAUUGCAUUUUAUAUAGACUGCAUGUUAGAUUGCAUUUUAUAUAGACUGCAUGUUAGAUUGCAUUUUAUAUAGACUGCAUAUUGCAUAUAUUAGGACAAUUCUGUCUAAUAGAGGCUGUUGGCACGUAAGAAAUUUUUACACCUAGAAUAAUUUAAAUGCAUGCAGAUUAGGUUUCGUGCUUGUGAUGCCAUUUUGGUAUUGGAUUGUUCACUUCUUUACAAGUUGGACGACUCUCCUACCACUCCCUUUAAUUUAUUCCCUUUAUCCUACCACUCCCUUUAUUCCCUUUAUCUCACUACAUGGAAUGCAACGUUUUUCUUCUCUACACUUCGUGACAUAAUGGUUAAUCUUUUCAUUUAUUUUUGUGUUAAAUUCUUUCUAGUUUUAUUUUAAUUUAGUUUUGCAAUAUGUGUGUUGGAGGGAGGAUGAUCAAAACUACAACACUAUACGCAUGUAUAUGCCCAUUUAAAUUUAUAUAUUUACUUGAUUUAAUUGUUUUUAAACUUACCAUACAAUACAGAAUUGAUACCAUAGCAAAUGGGACCUCACUUUCUUCUUAUUUCCAAGUAAAUAAAUAAAAAUAAUGAUCAAAUGUUAAAAUAAUACAAAUAUCGUCCCUCACUUUGUACAAUAGAUCCUAUUGUUGGGUCAGUUGCCAAAAUGUUGAUAAUUGGUUUCAUUUGAACAUAAGAAACCAAGAAAGGCAACAACAAAAAAAAUAUGUGUGUGGUUUCUUAAAUAAGACCAGACCCUUUUCUCUCUAUAAAAAAACUUACACCGAUCAUCAGUAUAACUCAUGUCUGUCUAGGCUAGCAACGCUCUAUCUAGGAAUCACACAACUACUCCAAGCACGGCUUCAUAUCAUUUAAAAUGACGAGCACAACGACGAAAAUGUGGUGUUCUGCAACUGAGGACAUGGUGUAGGAAAGACUGAAGUGCUAAAACCCGAGACAAAAGCACAAUGCCAUUUUGCGGAGGGAGUGAGACCGAGAAUGGUCACAUUUUUCAUACAUACACCGUCAUAUGAUGUGCCUGCAAUCCCGUAAAGAACCGGAGCCUUUGUCGAAUUUAAGCUCAUGAGAUUGGUAAUGAAAAUGCCCUUCACUUUAGGAACUGCCUUUGGAUCAAAUUGUUCAUCAGGAUGGUCAUUUGAGCCCCUGCUAAACCUUAUAGCCAUUUUCACUCUGUUCAUUACAAAGUUAGUUAUACUAACAUUUGCAAUGUAUCCUCCUCUACCUUGGUCGGAUUUGAUUCGAAUGCCUGCUGCCGAAUCCCAGACGUUUAAAUCCUCAAUUGUAAUGUUUGAUAUUCCACCUGACAUCUCACUUCCUAUUCCAACACCAGAACAGGUAGGGGUGGUGCCAGAAACUCGCCUUAUGACGAUAUUUGAGCUUGGGCGUGCAAGGUUGAUUCCAUAUUGAUCCCAACCACUCUUCACUGCUACUAGAUCAUCUCCGCUUUCGAUAUAACAGUCCUCGAUACAAACAUUGGUACUAGAAUCUACACCAUAAUAAAGAUGCAUUUGGAAUUUAGAUAACUCCAGCAUUGUUUUACAUUUAUUUCUCAUACCUCCUAGCUCCAAGAAAGAAGCAAAAUACCUGGAUCGAUACCAUCUGUGUUCGGGGCAUUGAGCGGAGCCAAGAUCGUCAUGUCUUUGAUAACAACAUUGCUGAAAUCAAACAAAAGUUCAAGAACCAGUAUAUAAUUGCAAAGAGUAGAUAAUUAUUGAAAAUGAAACCUGCAAUAGACAGGAUGAAUUGUCCAAAAGGGGGAAUUUUUGAAGGUGAGAUUGGAAAUGAGAAUAUUGUGAGAGUUGAUGAGCUCUACAAGAUGGCCCCUUGUGUGAUUUAAUGUUCUAUUCCACCAAAGCUCCCACCACAUCUUGCCUUGCCCAUCAAUGGUUCCAUUCUCUCCUGAAAAAACAACAUAAAAACUCAAUAGAUUUUCAUGAUUAAGAACAUUCUCGAACCCGAGUGCCGUCAAAGCUAAAUGAGAAGAAGAGUUCACACUAGUUCCAGUUUCGAUGCACAAAGCUAAUGUAGAUCAAAAGAUAUGAUCCCAUUUGAUACUUUUUUUAAGGUAGGUAGAACUUCUUAUUCCUAGUUUUUAUCACUGGACUCUACUCAUAUUCUUUUUAGUUCAACAAUAUGUAACGGUGAGUUUCAAACAUAUGACAUUUUGGUCAAAUUUAUAUAUGUUUUAACUAAAUGAGCUAUACUGAUCACAUUGGUGACCUAGUGGUAUUUGGCUAGGGUAAAAAACAAGAAAAUCAAAGAAAGAAAAUGGGUAAGUCAAGUUAGUCUUAGAAGGUAGAUCUUAAGCUUAAAAUUGAAAUACCUAACUUUUCUCAUCUCAAGUGACCCCUUAACAUAAAAUACUAUAAUGAUCUUCUCCACAACCAAAAUGUACUAAAAGGUCAAGUGCCCUUACAAAAAAAACUCCUUAUUGCCAAUUUCACUUUUAAAAACAGUUGAAAUGGUAUACCAAGAUUCAGUUCUUUAUCAUUCCCACCCCAAACAUAAAAACACACCAUAGAAAAUAAAGCAUGAUAUCUUGAGAGAGAGAAAUAAUAUUCUUAGAUCCUAAAUCCCUUUUUUUAAUUUUUAACAUUAUCAUGGUUCCCUAGCUAAUUGCUUAGUCAUGAUCAAAGUUUGAUUCCAUUACUUUACAAAACCCAAGAUAAGAAUCCUCAUGAAUAUAAAAUCCUAGCAAUGAAGAUGAAGCCAAAAACAAAAACAAAAAAAAAACAAAAAAAGAUAAAGAAAAGUGAAAGCACCUGUAAUUACAACAUUUGAAAGGGCAUUGCCAUGAAUAAGGCUGAUGUGUCUUCCUCCCAAUCUCUCUCUUCCUCUUCCAUAAGAAGGAAGUGGCUCUAUAAUGGGCCACUCAUCUGGAUCCUUUUUUUUUUUUUUUAAUUUCAAACAAAUAUUUAAUCAAGUGCACACUAAACUUUUGACAAUAACAUGCCACCAUGAUUUCUAAAAGCAAAGAUUUAUCAAUUCAUAAUUAACAAAUUUGAUUUGAUAAUUUAUUUUACUGAUCAAACCAAAGCUUAUUCAGUUUCAAAUAAUACCCAACAAAAAAAAAAAAGUCAACCAGUUAUCAUAAAAGCUCUGUUUCAUUUACACACCUUGGGGGAAGGAAUCACACUUUAAUUUUAUUUUAUUUUUUCUAAGGAAUUUUGUUAAUGGGAAAUCCCAAACACUAAUAUAAAUUAGCUUCAAAAGCACUAAUGAAUGCAUUAAAUGAUAAUUCAUAGUGCCAAUAAAUCAUUAGCAUAUACAACCUUUUUUUCUCAUAAUUUCACUGCUUUAUUAUUAUUUAUUAUCAUUACUUUUUUGGUUACAUACAACUUUACUUGUUUUAUUGCUUUUUUUUUUCUUUAAAAAAUAAUAUUAUUAUCAAUUCACAUUUUCACUAUAAAUAAGUUCAGAUAUUACAUUUUUCUUGCAUGCAAAAAUAUUUAUUAUCUUAUUAUUAUUUAAUCAAUUUGGAUGGAAAUAUUGGAUAUAUAUAUAUAUAAAUAUGGUGGAUCCCACUUGCUAUGUUUUUAGGUUUAAAAAUGCAAUAAGAACUUAGGUGACACCGCCAGAGUCAUCACUCUGAUUUUACCUUUUCUGCUAAGUUAUGAAAUCCCAUUUGUCAUUUUCUUCUUCACCAAAAUCACAAAGAAUUUGUCCUUUCCAAACUCAUUAAAACAAUAAAAAUAAAAUUCCCCAACAGUUUAAAAGAAACACCACACAAAGUCUUAAACACAUAAAUAUUUAAAACAAAAAAACAAAUUACAAAAGACAAGCUUAAAAUUACCAUUUAAUUUUCUAAUAACUAUUUAGUUUAACCGUAAGUAAUUUUAGGGGUUUAGGGUAAAAAAGAAAAAAACUGACCUGGGAGGCUAAAAUAAGAGCGCCACGUUGGAGAAAGAGGGUAAAAUUACUGGUGAGAUUAAAGCUGCCCGUGACCCAACUGCCCUUAGGGACGGUCAGUUUAGACCCGCCUUUGUCGCCGAACCGCCGCAUGUACUGAAUGGCCUUCCGAAACGCUUCCGUGUUGGAAGUCUUUCCGUCCCCUACUCCUCCGAAAUCCGUGAUCGACAUGACAACCCCCGCCGUAGCAUCUGGGCGGAAGAAGGCGGAGCAGGUGGGGAGUUGGAAAUCAGAGGGUGGGAGCCAGAAGGGGAAAGGGGGAGUUCUGGUGGCGAUUUGGAAGGUGAGGAUAGCGAGGAAGAUGAAGAGAAGGAGAAGGGAAGAACAGGAGGGAUUGAUCGGAGGGCCGAAAUAGAAUUUUGAUUUAUCACUGUCCAUUAAUGGAAAACCAAAUUACAAUAGAGAGAAGAAGAAGAAGAAGAAGAAAGAAGGGGUAGAGGUCUAGAAGGCAGGCUAGAACUGGAAGGGUGGACAAUGGACAUUGCGCUUCCGCAUGCUAAAUCUUUUCCCUUUUUUUUUUCUUUUUUGCUUUCUCUUCUACUUCUUUCUUUUUAAUAGUUUUUUUUUAAAUAUAAAAUUUUCAAAUUUAGUUAAUUACAAUUUGAUUUGAUUAUAAUAUUUAUGGAAGGUAUUUUCACAUUUUUAAAAAUAGAUUAGAUGAUGCUUUAAAUAGUUUGAAGUUUCAGCCCUACUAAUUUCCUAGUUUUGUUUUCAAAUUCCAUAAUUACCCUUACUUCAAUGCACUUAUUUUGUUUUUGCAAGAAGCAUGACACCUUUUGUUUAUUUUUUUUAUUCUAUACAAAAUUUCUAACAACAUUUAUAUAUAACCAAAUAUUACAAUAUAUUUAAUAUAUUAAACUACUAUUUAUCUUUAUUAUAAUAUAAAUAAACACAUAAUUUAUUUUAGGCUAUCAUGGUUGUGUACUAAGAACCAACGUUCAUUGGGUUUAAGUUCCUCACGUUCCAAUUUGUAUUAAAAAAAUUAAUGAAAAUUUUUUAUUACAUCAUUUUUUUAAAAUAUAUUUUUCUUAAUAUUUUUGAAAACUAUUUCAUUUAUUAUUUGAAAGUAAGCUAAAUUUGAAAUGUAUGCAUAUUAAAUAUGAGUGGAAUUUUAGACAGGGAGAGAGAGGACAUCAUUUAAAAAGUACUAAUUAAUUUCUUUGAUAGCCUUGUUAUUAUUAUUUUCUAAAACAGUUUGAUAGCGUUAUUAUUAUUUUUAUAGUCGGAAUUCUGGUUGUAGUAAAAGAACAAAAUUGUCAUUAAAAUUAAAAAAAAAAAGAGGGAGGGGGGCAAGAUGGUAAUUAUGUAAAAAGAAGCCGUGGGCUUUUGUUUGCUUAUUUGAAAAAGUGGGAUUAUGAGACGUGGCAAGUUUAGAGUGGUGUUAAUAUGGAGUGAUAGCGUGAUAGAUGUUGUAGAAGAAACCUAAUGGUGUAAAAAUGGAAGCCGCUAUUCACGGGCAUCUUUCAACCUUUCUCAUCAUUUCUUUUUCAUUCUAUUUUCUUUAUUUUAUUAUGUUUUCUCUUAAAUUAAUAAAAAAAAUAAAAUUUAUUUAUUUUAAUUUGAGAAUGUAUGAUGAUAAAUAAUUUUAAUUGGAAAAGGAACGAAACCUUUUGAAUUUAUUAAAAACGCAAACAAAUACUAAAUAAGAGAAUAUCAUAGUUAUAUAUAUAAAAAAAAAAAAUGCAACAUCUCCAUUAUUAUGAAACAUUUUAAAUGAAGCUAAAAGUAAAAUUAUGCAACAUUAAUGUAAAUUAUCUCAACUUCAAAUGACAUUUGAACCAAUGUUUGAUUUUAGAAUUAAUAUUAUAUAUAUUUUUAAAUAGAAAAUUUAAUUUGAUUUAUAGUUCCAAGAGAUGCCUUCCUAAAAUGAUUGUUUAUUUACUUGUACCAAUUGAAGCCCUAGUUUUAAUUUAAAUUUACUAUCAAACAAAUAAUUAGGAUCAGAACACAUUUCAAGUAAAAAUAAAAAUGUACUUUUCCAUUAUUUUUCUUUCAAAUGUACAAAAGUCUACUUUUUUGGUGCCAUAUGUCUAUAACUAGUAAAGGUAAAUAAAAUAUAAAAAAAAAAGGAAAAAAAUAUUAAAAUUUGUUUGAAAAUUUUGUGUAAUUUCAUUUAUGAAUAUGUUUACAUACAAAAUUAGUUAUUUGCAAAAGAAAUUGAUUUCGUCUUCUAAAAUGUUAAAAGUUUUUUUUUUCAAUAACAAAAGAUAGUCCAUUAAUAAUUAACAUAGGACUAAAAGAAUGAACUAUGGUAAUAUUUUGAUAUUUUUUAUUCUCAUGUAUAAAAAUUUGAAAAGUGAGGAUAUAAAGAGUUAUGAAAAAUGGUAUUUUGAUAUAGUUUCUACCUAAUACCUUCUCUCAUUCUUUUAAAUUUGAAUCCAUCUAAUUGUACGUUGUUUUAAGCUUUUCAGUUGAAGUUACUAUUUUUUAUCAAACCUAGAUUAACCCUUUGAUUAUAUAUUUUCUAAUAGAAUUAGAUGAAUUAGAGAGAAAAAUGAAAAACAAAAAACCACAGCCAAUGUUUUAUUAGUUAUGUUUUGCAAUAUUCAUCAUGAACUUAUAUAACCUUGCAAUUUAGUACAAUUUAAUUGAAGCUUUUCUGUGGUUGUCUUACCAAUCAAUCCAUUGGCUGAGUUGACACCCGAGUUAAGGGCGACAUCGGUAGAUGACUCGGAAUUUUCAUUCCCAAUUCCCUUUUCAAAUUCUAUAACCUUCGUCACCACGAACAAUUUGCAAUAGAUACGAAACCAAGAUCAGGGUCUUCUUAAUUUUCCUUCUAUCUUUCUUUUUCCCCUUCAUUGGACGCGCCAUCAAUUCUACAUUGGAUUGCAGCAUUUGGGUAUUAAAUUUUGAUCUGUUUUUACGGGAUGUCAUGUUCGAUUUCAUUGUGAUUCAUUCAAUUCCAUUUCUGUCGCAUGUUUUCGUAUCUCUUUGGUAAUGGUGCAUGCUGUUUUGCAUUUGUUGAAUCAGCUGACAUUUGGGUUUUCUUUUUCUUUGAUUAGGUACGUGAAUCGGGUAGCGAUCUUGUUUUUAAAAAUUGUUGAUUGGGUUGGAGCCAUUGGAGGACGGAUUUGAUGGAUUCGACGUCAAACCAAACCGAGUUUGAUUACUUGUUCAAGUUGUUGAUGAUUGGGGACUCUGGGGUUGGAAAAAGUAGUCUGCUUUUAAGUUUCACUUCCGAUAACUUUGAAGAUCUCUCACCGACGAUCGGUUAGUUUUGCUAUACGGAUCAGAUUUGAAGUAUUAGUUUGGAAUUUCCUUUUUUGCUUUUGUGGGAUCUUGCGCAUUCUUUUUGAAAAUGAGCUUAGACAAAUCGGUUUUGUUGUUUGCUGCGGAAUAUUGGUUCAUCAUUUUAAAGAAACAUGUGGAAAGACAAUGAUAUACUUUUGCUGAAUAUUGGUUCAUCAUUUUCACUUUCACCUUCACCUUCUGCAUGGGAUUGAGAUGAGAUUGAGGGCAAAAAAUUAAAUGAAAGGGAAAGUUGAGAGGACCAAGAUUGAGAGAGGCAAUUAAUCUUAACCGUAUUUCAUCAAGAGAAGAAUGAAGCUCUUAGAUAAUCAGGUCAGGUGUCAUUUUUUUAGGACAGUGUAAGGAACUUAGCUAUAAUCGUAUCUGAGAAACUAAAAUGAGAAGUCAUGAAAGAGGUAAUUUGUGCAUUAAUUUCUAAUGGAAAAUACUAUAUUUCAAUGUAAAUAUGUAUUGUAUACUUUCAGGUAUACAAUGAAAAGUUCAUUUUCUUUGUAAUAUUAUAUAUAUAUACACACACUGUAUACUUUCUACCCGCUCUAUUAUCACUGGUCAUCUAUACUUUUGCAUUCUGUUCAGUACUUACUGACCCUGUGUAAAUCUAGGCAUAUGCUCAUCGUCCUACUGUGGGGCUAUUAGUAGAAUAGAUUUCCUUUUACCUGUGUAAGUUUGGUUGAAUUUCAAACCGCAUAGCUGAAAUUUUGGAUGUUCUCUUUCUUAUUAAAACAUUAUUAACAAAAUUGAGAAUUUAAAAUGAUUUUGAUUAUAAAUCCUACGUCUGCAUGUUUAAUUGUGCUGGUUUGCUUGUUUAAAAUGGAAAACGGCACAAGCCUUGCUAACUUCUUAAUUUGCCUUGCAAUGGCAUGUAACCAUCAAUAGACUAGAAAUGACUUUUAAUUAAUUGGUUGUUUUUGUGCGCAGGUGUGGAUUUUAAGGUAAAGUAUGUUACUGCUGGUGGUAAAAAGCUGAAGCUUGCAAUUUGGGAUACUGGUAAUUAAGCUUCUCCACACACAUAAAUAGGCUUCUUCUUCCUCCAUUUUUAUUUUUGAGAGGGCGUCUAUUCUAUUUUCCACACAUGCAAGAUGUAUGCUUUGGCAGAGAAGCACCAAACGGCUAAGUUAGAUAAUUAAUUUACAAAAAGAUAUUGCUUAGCUAAUUAUAUAAGCAGCUGGACGGUAUACUAAAUUAUAAAUACAUUGAGGCUUGGCCAUUUGCGUAGCUUGUCCUUUGUUCACCAGCUCAAAGUUGACUUUUCCUUCAUGGUCCGGCAAUCUAUGCAGUAAUCCUCGAUUCGGCACAGUUUUCUCCUGUUUUGAAUGUAGAAGCUAGAAAAUUUUGUUACCAAAUCUUUGAGGCAUUAAAUAAAUGGAUGAGAAGACAAUAAAUUUAACCAAUUGACAAAUAGAUCUGGAAGGUGAAAACGGAUGCUAACUGUUGACCAUAAGUGUGCCUGGAUGAUGGUUCUGCUGUGCAGAAAAAUGCAACAUGAAUGAACUUUUCACGUUCAUGUAUAGAACUUUGUUGAACCUGCAGCCGGCUAGAGCUUUUUCAUCAAGAUUAGAAACUUGUUCAUAUUUGUGUUUGAAUUAAAUUUGGAUCUUGACCUAACAGACUAAGAAAUUGCUCAAAGGAUUGUACAUGCUUAUUCUAAUUCUUAACUGUUAUCCAGUGGUCCUAGUGCUGUGAAUUAUAAAGAUAAUAUAGUUGUUCUUGUUGAUUAGCCAUGAUGUAUUUGAUGGUACUAGGGUAUUACUUCCUAUAUUUUCUUGUAAUGAAUCUGUAUGAAAGAAAUCUGGUUUACCACAUCUCCAAACUAUGCAUCUUGUAGAAUCUAACUCAAUGUUCAAUCGUACAGCUGGGCAGGAGAGAUUCAGAACACUGACUAGUUCAUACUACAGAGGUGCUCAAGGGAUCAUUAUGGGUGCGUUCUACUCCCUUCUUUAUUUGAUUGUUUUAAAGAGAAGAAAUUCUUUGCUUGGCAUAAAUGUUAAAUUUCUCAGCUGUGUUUAGUUUAAACGCAUUCAUGAUUUUAUCAAAUGAUAAGUUGUUCAUUUGUUUGGCCGUCCAAUAUUAUUCUAUUGCCUUUUGUAUUAUGUUAUCUUGAUUAUGACAUCAAAUAUUAACUGUCAGUUUAUGAUGUAACGAGGAGAGACACGUUUACAAACCUUUCUGAGGUAUGGGCAAAGGAAAUAGAUCUAUAUUCAACCAAUCAAGAUUGCAUCAAGAUGCUUGUUGGAAACAAAGUUGAUAAGGUAAGCGUCUUCAACUUCCAUUUGAAAUUUUCCAUUCACCUGAAUUUGGUUACUCUAACAUUUGUAUAGAUGUCGAUUAAUUGUUCAAGUGUAUGGUGAACUGAAAUUCAUAUUCCAAAGAGUUUUCAGGUUAAUUACCAAUAACAUAUUGAUAAUUUAAGAACCGAUUAAAUGAGUUAUGAAUAUCAAAGCUUUUUCCGUAUGAGUUUGUUAGGUAUUCAAGCUGUUAUUUACUACUAUUAUUAGAAAGCUUAGAAGAUGGCCUAAUGGUAAAAACGGAGACAUAGUCUGAAUAACUAACUAAGAGGUCAUGGGUUCAAUACAUGGUGGAAUUAAUUUCCUACAUGUUAUCUUGACACCCAGAUGUUGUAGGGUCAGGCGGGUUGUUCCGUGAGAAUAGUCGAGGUGCUCGUAAGCUUUCCCGGACACUCACGGUUAUAAGAAAAAGAAUUAGAAAGCUUAGAAGAGUGUUGAAACACUGUACAAAUGAAAUCUAACUUCUAGGUCUGGCUCAUCUCCACGCACAAAGCCUAUCCUAAAUUAUGACUCAAGAAACCAAACUUCCAAUAGGAAGAACAUAAAAACAAAAAGGCAUGUGCGAAAUACACUAAAUGUGAAGUUCAGGUUUUUGAGAUUCUUUUAAAUUUCUUAUGAUAAUGUUUUUCAUUGUCUGCAUCUAACUUACUUUUUAUCUGGAAUUUUAUUCUUCAGGAAAGUUAUAGGACAGUAACCAAGAAAGAGGGAAUUGACAUGGCUAGGGAAUAUGGUUGUCUUUUUACAGAAUGCAGUGCCAAAACUCGGGUUAAUGUACAGCAGUGCUUUGAAGAACUUGUUUUAAAGGUAGCAAUUUCAGUUUAGUAUUACUGUUGGUUCAUUUAUUGGUCAAGGGAUUGAUAUUGAUUGGUGAGUAGCAGGAACAUGGUGUUUCCCUGUUGUAAUUGUAACAGUCACAUUUCUGAUAUUUUUUAAAAGAUAAAAGCAAUCACAUUCCUGGUAUAUUCAUAAAUAGGUUAAGGCAGUGAAAAAUUUUGAACCCUCUUGAAUAGUCAUAUUUUAACGGCUAAAAUUUUCCUCUUCCUUUUUCCCAUUUUAAGAUUUAGAAAUAUCCUGCAAACUCACUGAAUGUUGCUUGGACGAUUAAAACAUGAUGAUAACGAUUCUUAUAUACAGAUUCUUGAUACGCCCAGCCUUUUGUCUGAAGGCUCUAAAGGAGUGAGAAGGAACAUCUUCAAGGAAAAACCUCCACAGUCUGAUGCAUCCACGAGCAGUUGUUGCUGAAAUUGAUUCAUUGUCUCUAACUACAUUUGCUGGUUGUUUCUACAUUGUUGUAAAACUACAGUAGAGGAGCAUGGUGUUAUAGCUUUUAUUUGUCUCACUCUCACAAAUUACCUUACAAAUUGAAAAGGGUGGUUUUGUCUUCUUGCUGGCUUUCUUGUACAGGGAAAAAUUGAAAUGGAAAUAUAUGAUACAUGAUUUCAGUCUUUCUUGCUUUAAUUUAGUUGCUGUCCUCUGGACUUUUGUUUUGUUUCUAUACACUGAGUCAUAGAUUCAGUACGAUUAAAAGAUGAUUCUUGUUAAUGUAAGAGCUGGGGGGAGGGGGGUUGGGAAGAAGUGUCCCACCUGCAAGUGUUUAAUUGAAGGGCAUAUUUGGAUGACUUUUAAGGGGUUAUAAAAGGGUUCAAGGAAAAUCCAAAUAGGUCCUCAUCCGACUCAAGUGGGGUUGAUUUGAAGUCGAGUUGGGCUUUGUGACGGAAAGGAAGAACAACCCCGUUUGGUUGUAUAUGCAUAAAUUUAGCGAUCUAAUAAAUAGGAUCUUCUUUUACCGGUUACUCGUUUCUUUCACCGGUUCAUGGAAGGUAACCGCUAGAUUUGUUUUUUAGAUGGAGAAAUAAAAACCACUUGUUAGGGGCUUCUUUUUAUUGAACUUAUAAAGUUGGAGAAUGGUGUGACUAAAGGUAUCAGCUCGGUAUGUGUUUGUUACAGUCGAGACGUUAAUAAACUUAAAUUCUUGAAACGUUGAAGAGGUUCUUUUGAUUUCCUUUUAUGGAAGGUAUAUCAAGAAUGUAAAUAUUCUGAUUGAUUUGUGGAAACCUUUGAGUUCAUUAUGUAUGGUAAACAAAGUGAAUGUUGAUGGUAGUAGUAAAUGAGAUCAAAGUUUAUGAUAUGCUUUUCAAGAGAAGAAUGAUGGUAGUAGUGACCAAGAAAGAUCAAAGUUUAUUUCUCUCGUUGAUGCCGUAUAAAAAACAUUGUAAAAGUAGUAUGCUCCAAAAUUGGAAAAUAUAAGAGUUCUAUAAAAUGUUCUUGGCCAAGAAAAUGUGAAUAAAAAAUUCAAUUAAAUCGAAACAGUCCUUAAAUCUAUCAAAAUGUGAAAAAUUCUCAAUCUCUCACAAGUAUUGAAAACUCAAGGUUUUAAUUGAUGUUGGUUAGGUUCCUAAUAGUAAAUACUCUAGGACUCCGAUGUACAUCUUUAUGAUUAUGUUGUGUUUAAGGAAGAGAUUGAAAGACACAUACAAAAUGUAUCACCAACAAGGAUCAUCUAAUCCAAUAUGAGCCCUUACUUCAACCUAGUGUUGUUAGUCAAGAAAAAAAGACAUGAUUUGACGUUUUUGUGUUAUUAUAGAGCUUUGAAGGAAGCCAUUGUUCCACGUAGAUUUUCAAUCCUUGUCAUUGAGAAUUGCUAGAUGUUACAUAAGUCUUUCAUGUAUUAUAUGUUAGACCACAAAUUUGACUAUUUACAUCCAUAGAGGUUACUAUAAAUUUCUUGUGAUGCGUUUGAGUUAAAAAAGAACACUUCAACCACUUUUUAAUCUACGAUGAAUCAAAGUAUUUAUACAUGUUAUGUUUUUGAUAAAACGUCUUAUAGUUUUGUUUGAAGAUAUAUUGAUGUAUAGCCUCAACUUGAGACCCACGUAAUAUCCUCGGCCACAAUUUUCUAUUAGCAAACAUGAAAGAAAUGCAAGUGUGAGGAAAGUUGUGUGUGGAUCUAACUAUUCAUAAAUGGUUUGUGAAAGCAUUGGACGUGGAAACCAUUAAAAAAAGGUCAAAGAAGAUGAAUAUCUGUGUAAGAUUUGAGUGGAGUGGCACGAUGAUUCUCAAUCCCAACUUUUUUUUACUUUUUUUUAUUUGUCUUUGACACUUUUCUCCCUAAUUCUUCCCAAUUUUGGAGCAAUCUAGCUUAAUCUAGCUUAAUCUUUUGAAGAUAUUUGAAUCAAGAAUGAUGUUGCGAAUUUCAAAAAAUGAUAAAAUUUAGAUAGUUGUAAACUCUAAGCUAUGAGUAUAUAAUGUGAGAAGUUGACAAGACAUAAAAUUGAUAUAUUUUAGUCACGGACUCAAUAACUCUUUAGACCAAACAAGGAGUGUAGCUCACAAGUCGAAUCUUUCUAAUUCUCUCCUCUUCAUACCUUAACUUUUUGGCCUAAACACCUCGGUAAGUGCUUGCAUAUGUAUCGCUUUAUUUCUAUGUCACAUAUUAGACUCUUUCGACCACUACCCAUUAGUCCAUAACUAAUUUGAAAUGAUAUCUUUUAAGGAUUUCAUUGACAUGGGCUCCAUAGACACAUCACACAAAUGGAAAGGCUAAUUCUAUGUCUAAGACAAGGUGGCUCUCACCACCCGGGUAUUGUUAAGCUCUACUAGAAAAUAAGAUGUGAUUUGAAUUUAAAUCAAAGUUGAAAGAGAUUGUUACCUUCCCAAAUUGGUAGAAAUUUUGGUUGUAUUUUGUUUGAAGGUGAUCAAAAUAUCAAAAAAGAACCUUAGAUGUUCAUUCCUCAAGUGCUCAUAAAUUACAUUGAUUCAUCUUACAUAUUACACUUAGAAACAGGUCAUAAUAGCAUUUAAAUCUAAAUAAACAUAGGGAAGUAAGAAGAAUAAAAGUUCGAAAAUGAGAAAAAAAGAAAUACACAAUUUGAUUCCAAAAUUAUAUCUAAAGUAUAAGCAAUUUAGUAUGGAAAAUAUGAAAAUAAGGCUGAAGUUUUGCCACCAAAACAAACCAACAGCCAUGGGUUCUACAACUGCAAGACUGCUGAUUCCUCAUCUUCUUCUUCCCUCUUCUUCUUCUUCUUCUCACAAUCCAUCAACAAACACUCGCACCAAAUCUUCAAAACCCCUUUCAUUUCCCAACCAUAAUUCAUUACCAACCAGGCGUUUGUUGCUUUUCUCCCUCCCCAUAGCCACUGCCUUUCUUCUCCCAAUUCCGGGCAAUCCAAUUCAACCCAGUUCUUCCUUUGCUGUGGAGAGCUUUGACCCUGUCAGCCGUUCCGAGAAAGAUGCCAGUGCCGCCAUUUCACGAAGAGUAUCUGAAGCUGUGGAGCUUCUCGAUAAAGGCAGGGAGUUGCAAGCUCUUGGUGAUUUCAAUCAAGCUCUUCUCUACUUCACUCAGGUUUGUACUAAUUUUGCAUCUUCGAAUUCGUAGAUUUAACGUCGAGUCCCCAAUAAUUUAAACAAUGAUAAGUUAUAGAAUUGUUGAGGAUUGAUGCUUAGCUGAAUUUUUCCAUUCUUUAGAGUCAACUAAGUUUUAGAUGUAAAGUUCUUGUGAUGGACAUCGUGUUAUCAGAUAGCAAUGGCUUUUUUCCAAAAACAAAUUAACAGGAAAAUUUUCAGAAAAAUUAAUAUGCUCUGGAGUGUUGUUAGUUUAUGUUAUUGUAUCUAUAAAUCUAAAAUGUAUGUUGGACAAAGCAUAUCAACAAAAAGAAACCUUUUAGGAAAUCCUGCAUGCAGGAUCUGGUGCAUAAAAGUAAGGCAUAUUAUCCACAAAUGAUUUACUUAUCUGACUUUAUGGAUAAUUCCCCAAUAUAUUUUGGCGACCCAUUGGGAUGUUAUUAGUCUUUUCCACCCACAUUUGGUGUGAUUAUGCGAUUUACCUAGUUGGAAUUUUCAAGUCUUAAGCAUACUGAUGGGUUUUCAGCUGAAUGGAUUAAACCAUUUCUUACAAAAUGUCAAAAUCGUGAAGAUUUGUGGAAAGGGUACUUGUCUUUUUUGUUUUCAGAUAAGUUGUAUGUAAGGAACUUUCUUGUAAGACAUAAGAUCCACGUAUUUUUUAAGGCAGUUCUAUGAAUGGAAUUUUGGAGGCCCAUUUGGGUGUGGUUUGUUAGAUCCAUAUGUUCUAAUCACGAGUGACUUAACUUAACAACACAGUUCUGUCACUAUCCAGAUAGAAGAAUGAGAAAACUAUUAUGUUUUUCGUUUUUAAUCGUGUUUGAGACUAGGAUCCGCGGUGGAUCAUUAUAUUACUGAUCUUCAGAAAUAUUCACUACUUCAAUUUGGAUUUGCUGUAGGCUUCAAAACAUGCAACAUGAAAUUACUUUCUGAUUUCUAAACACCUGUCUCGCAUAGACAAAAAUUCUAUAGCCUCUAAAUACUGAGUGUUCCUGAGGUUCAGGUAGGGGGCGACAAAACUUUGAUUAUAAACUUUUUUUAUUAUUUAUUUUGCUGAAGAAAACUCAAAACGAAAAGUGUUUAGCAUGUGACGAGAAGACUUCAGAUUCCUUUCCCUUUGAAGCUCAUAUUCAAUCUGCACUCCUCAUUUAAUUGAGAGAAAUUAUUUAACUAUUGAUUUAUUUGUCAAGUCAACGUAUUUUGAGUGUUAGUUCUUAUUAAAAAUUUGAUUUUAGUUCUUUUCUAAUUUCAGGUAAUUGAUAAAUAUAAAGAUUUUGCUUUCUCGGAUUAUGCCCGAGUAGGCAGAGCAUUGGCCCUGUACGAGAUUGGUGACCGAGAAGAAGCCAUUGCAGAGAUGGAGGAUGUUUCCAUAUCAUUGAAGGGAUAUCCAGGUACUUGAAUAAAUUUUGCACAAAUUUUGGGUUCUAGACGUACAGAUUGAAGAGGGUAUCACGUAGAUGCAGUGCAACAACAGUUUUAGCUAGAGAAAGAGACUUUAACAUACAGUAUACAAGUACUUGAGAAUAUAUAUAUAUAUAUUUAAAUGAUUCUUCAAACAAUUUUCCUGAGGUAAAAGUUUAGUUAAAUUAUAUGUUUAGUUCAUAAAUUUUGAGGUUUGUGUUCAUUUUAGUUCUUUAGCUUUCAAUAGUCGGUUAAAUUUUAAAAUAAUUUAUUCAAGUAAAGGUCAAAAUUGCAACUUGAAAGUGAGAGUUUAAGAUGAAAAUGGAUGCAUAUUGUUUAGAGUUAAAAGUAGAUGGAUGAUUAAGGCUAUGAUGGCAUAAUUGAAUCGUGCCAAGGAGCUUGGAUGCAACGCAAAUAACUAUAGAUAUGGGUCAUGGAUGUGUUACCAACAUAAUUAAUGCCAUUUAAAAAAGAGUCAAUAGUAUGCACAGGAUAAUUUUAUACAUUCAUGGGUUUGAGGUAUGCAAAAGUUUAUUUAUUUUUAUGUUAUAUAUCUAUUUAGGAUGCUCAACCAGUGUUUGAUACAUAUCUAACAAAUGUGGACUAGUAUUUAUUUGUACAAUUAGUGUCAAAUGCAUUUAUUGUAGUUACAAGAGUUCUAUGCUUGUAUUCUUUCUCUAUCAUUUUCUGGUGUGGUUGGAUUUUGUAAAACAUCAUUGAAUGUGGAUUGAAAUUUUGACUGCUCUCUCGAAGCUAUGUAUAGCAAGCCACCUAGAAUCUAAAAGAUCAUAAUGUUUAACAGUAGUACUCGACAGUUGGUGUCUUUUCUCUUACAUUAUGUGGCCAUAAUGAAUCAUGUGUAGUACAUAGUACUUACUGGCAUUUAUGUACCGGUAUAUUGUUUUGCAGAAGUGCAUGCGGCAUUGGCUGCAGCUUUAUACGUGGAUAAGCAUGCUGCAUUGCUGGCUGAAAAUCAAUUCACCAUUGCAACCUUGCUUGAUCCUCACUAUGUGGAUAUCUCGUAUGUGAAAGAAACAAAGCACUGGCCUCCUAGUUUGAUCAGUUCUUUGCAACAUUUCUUAACACUUUCUUAGACAUUUGUAAUAAAAUAUAUACAGUUUCUGUCAUAAAAAACUCAAUUCCUUGUUUUGUAAGUGCACAAAAUUUAAUACACUUUAAACAUCCAUGUAAUUAUUAGUAGAAAUAUAGUUUAUGUUUACUCUCUUAUCCCCUUUGACUUGUAACAUAAAUUCAUUUCUUCAUUUAAACUUACCUGAUGCUCAUCCUCAUUCAUGUUCUGAGUCUAUUCAAUGCACCUUCUUUAUUGACGGAGGAUACAAUGAUGGUUUUGCUAGUUUUAUACCAUUGGAUAUAAGUAAGUGAAAUUACAAAACAUUUUUUGUAUUGGAAUCUUGAAUCUAUAAUUGAGUCAACUUCAUUCAUAUUUGUGUUAUUGAACUAAUCCUAGAAAUUGGACAGAAACUUUGAACACUUGAGCUGGAUAAUGGAUGUAUCAGAAUUGUCCUUAAUUAACCAAGGUUGAUUGACCUCUACAAGACAAUGGAAGUCACCAUUUAGGAAGGCUUUUCUUUCACGCUGAAAAGUCUUUGCUGUGACUCUGCACUCAUUUUUGUACUUUUAGUGCUUUCAUAUUAACUUUUUAAAUGGUGAGACCACAAUACUUUGUCCUAGAGUAACUAUAGGUCUUUAGUGGGUCCUCAUAUUAAUAAAAAAAAAAAAAAAUUGCUCUUUUAAUGCCAUUCUGGUGUUCAUAAAAUGCUUUCACACAUGGAAAUUUUCCCACUUCUUCAAGAAAGAUCACAGAAAAUAUUUUGCCACAAGUAACUUCUGGUUUGUAUAACCACAUCUUUCAAAUCAGCCUUCUCUUUCUGAUUUUUCAAUUAUUUAUAGUUUUGAUGGUUUUUUUGGGCAAGGUAAAGUCCCAUCAGAAGUACCUGCCAGUAAUUGCAACUAUUUUAGAAAGAUGCUGGGGAUUCAGAAUUCUGAUGUGCUCUCAUUCAUUCAAGCUAAAUGCCAUUGCUGACAGGCAAGCAGUGAAGUGCUUCCAGCAAAUUGAGUGGGCCAUCAAGCAUGUGCUUUGCCCCUGCCUUUCUAAAUCAUAUGCAAAUCUCUGCAGUUACUCAUACUAUUAUUAAGUUGUAAAGUAUUGAACACUUGUCAUGAUUAUUAAUCAGUUGUAUCAUGACAUUUACAGGCUUUCAAUUCUGAUGCUCAUAUUGGACAUGGGAGGCUUAUUUACACAUCAUCAAUGGCUCUGAUUGAGCCUCAGGUUCACUUAAUCCAAUCUGCUUUAUUGAUUUUCUUUUAUCAAAUCAAAUCAUACCAAAAUUUGGAUUGUGAACAUUUGAUUAAUGAGAAAGCUAGGUAUAUUAUAAUUAAAGUUUUUCCAAUCUGAAUAUAAUGAUACUGAAAUGCAUUUGCAUGUGAUUAAAAAUCUCCAAUGAGUGAAUUUUUUCUAUACUUGAUUGUGUACACUACUAGAUAUUUCUUCCAUAGCCAAUCAAUUUUGCUGGCUACAAUGUAAAGAUUCACAUUUGAAAGGGAAAAAAAAAGGUCCCAAAAGGGUUGAGGGAUAGAAUAUUAUUAUCACACAUUACAUAUUCCUUUUGUCCUCAACCCACUUGGAUCUAAGAAGCUUGAGUAGGAUUCUUGCCUUUGUUUUGGUUUUUGCACAACACUGACUUUGCAGAAGCAGAAGUAAUUGACUCAAAACUCCACCUCUAAUGGCCUUUUCUCUUGCCUCUACUGAAUCAUAACAUAAAAUUAUAAGUGAACUAACAGCACUUUCACUGCCUCCGUGAUCUGAUACUCUAAAAACCAUCUUCACAAUAACAUUUACACCAUCUGGAAUAUUUACCACUUCCUCUUUUGCACUUCUAAAUACCAAAAGUUUCUCAAUUGCUGCCAUUGCUUCUCGUGCAGAGCUUCUUUCUCUUUGUUGAGCAUUAGAAAUGUAUGAAAUAAGUCCAGUAACUGCACCUUCCACAACCAAAUUGUUGAUGUUUUGUUCCAAGUUACUUAGUGAACAUAUGGCUUUGGUUGCUGCAUCAGAUGCCUCUGAGUUGUGGUGUAGAAGUUGCACGAUUUCUCGUAAAAGCUCGGUUGUGUUUCCGAGUAAAACACUAAGAUCUUUAGUCUCAACUGAAGAUGAAAUUGCCUGAACCAAAUGACACAAACUGAUCUUGAUCAUGGAAGUGCCAUUACUGAACAAAACCAUGAACCGUGAUAGUUUUGACUCAUCCAUUAGCACAUUUAGGGACUGUAUCUGUUCAAGAGAAACCAUAGCAACCAUAAAACUAAGCGCUUGCUCUACAAAUUCCUGAUAUUCUUGUGAUAGUUUGGUUUCUUCUUGCCCAAAAAUCAACUCCAAAAGCACUGACAAGAACCCAAUUCGGAUCAAACAAGAAUUACGAGAAGGAAACUCUUCACAUAAAAUUCUAACUCUUUGAAGAACUUGUAGCUUGUAUUCAUAAGAAAACUCAUCAGAUUCAAGUUUGAUUCUCAAAGCAGCCAUAGAAUCAAUAGUAGAAACACAUUGAGGGUUUAUUUGGUCACUCAUCUGAAGCCACUGACAAAUCAAAUGACGAAGAGUAUUAUUAGGAACAAAAGAAGGAUCAUGAAGCUUCUGCAUUGUAACAGGACAUGUAAGAUUCCCUGAUGCCAACCAUUUCUCAAUGCUUGAUCUUUCAUAAGUUUGUCCUGUGCAAAGAGUGACAGGAUCCUUAAACAAAUCAAGACUUAUUGGACAUCUAAACAAGUGAGGGAUGGUCUCAUGAUCAUCAGCUUCUUUCAUGGAGAAGAAAAAGAAUAAAACUAAUUACAAAAACCAGAGAAAGAAGAGAGUGAGUACCCCCUAUUAGAAAUUUGGUAAAAAGAGAGAUGGAAAUGAAAUCUUUGAGAGAGGUGGAAUGAUAAAAAAGGAAGAUACGGUGGGAAAGUUUUCAAAAGAAAGAGAAAAAAGGGAGACCGAUUGAGUUCUUAAAGGCUUUUCUUUUCAAGUCACAAAAGAAGAACACAACAGUGUGAUAUUUGAGGAAAGGAAAAUGGAGACCCCAAAAGCUAAAAGGCAUAAAGAGAGAUGAAAAACAGGUAUAGAAAUUGGAAUCAGAUGGUAUAAAGGUGGAUUUAGAAAGCAAAAAAAGCUGAAGGAAAGAAAAGUAGGCAAAAUAUUAAGACUUAAACAGUGAGUUUCUAUGGGGGAAAAGUGUACUGAUUUUGGUCUGAGCUAAUGCUGUUUCACACUGGCAGAUAUAACGAAAAAAAAAGAUAAAAGAGUAUAGAUCAGAAGAGAGGGACAAAGUAGAGGUUAAUCCUAGUGAGAGAGAUGAACAAAGUAAAAUGAUAUGGAAGAAGUAUGAGAAAAAUUGGUCCCCAUUACUCUAAUAUAGAAUUCAGUCAAAGUGACCCACCAUCAAAUAAUAAUAAUUAUUAUUGUCUUUGAAGUUUGAAUCAACCCUCAUAAUAAGAAAAAAAAAUGGGGAAAAAAGGAGAAAAAUAAUGGGUCUAAUUCCCUGUGAUAGAGAGAGAGAGAGAGAGAGAGAGUUUUGACUAAGAAUUUUUCUUAUUCCUUGAGAUAUAGAUAGAGAGAGAGAGUUUGACUGUGAAAUGUUAAUGGUAAUCACAAUUAGAUUUUGAUGAGAAUUCUGAUCUCAAUUAUGAUUAUAAACACUCAUACCAAUCAUAUAAUGCAAAUCUAAACUGGAUAAUUCUCUAAUAUGUGUACUAAUAAAGGUGGCCUUUUUUUCCCCUAUGUUCAUACCUUUAAGAUCUUUCAAAAUUCAAACAAAAUUUGAAUUCUAAAUUUUAUAUAUUUUAAAAUUUUGGUUUUAUUUUUAGAAAUUGGAUAUGAGUUAAAAAGAAAAAAAAUAAACCCAAAAUUUAAAAAUAAAUAAUCGAAUAAUUAUCAAACGUAACCUACGAGAUCAUGUAAAUAUGUACUUAAUUACUUUAUUUGAAGUUGCAAUUACUUGCUUGAUCUAGGCCAUAAAUAUGACAUAGGAUGGUCUAACAAUAGCGAAUCUAUUUGAACAAUAAUCAUAUCAAUUAUUAAAAGUUGAAGCAGUUUACACAACAAAAUGGUAUAUUCUUUCCUAUAUAGACAUGAUUUAACGACUAUAGAUAUAAAACAGUGAAGAAAAGUCAGAAUAGAUGACUUUUACUCUUUAAAUUUUUAUUUUUUCUUUAUAAAACGUAGACCAACUCAAAUAUUUAACUAAAGGAAUAGUCAUUUAUUUGAAGGUUCUAAUUUUUUAAGAUAUAUUAAAAUGAAACUACAAAUUUCACCUACAUCCCAAACACAUGUAAUGAGCUAAUAUACAUAAAACAGAAAGAGAAAAAUCAAUUGACUCUCCCACUUUGAAUCGCAAUUAUUUAUUUUUGAUUCAUUUCUAUUUUCAUUUAGAAGUUGAAAAUUAUUUACAUAAAAUUAUUCUUAAAAAAUAUCACAAAAUCUCUCUAAACAAGUAAAUAAAAGUAGAGAAGGAUUAGCAAGUGAAAAGUUACUCAAAUUUGAUGAAAAUCACUCCUAUAUCUAUUUAGAUCCACGACUUUAAAACAAAAUUUUAAAUAAGAGUCUAAAUAAGUUAACUUAAUUAAAUUGAUAGAUAUAUAACAAUGGGUAAUUAGUAUAAAGUUAAAAAAGUUUUAAUUAAACUAAUACAAAGUCAAAAUUUAAAAGUAUAGAUUAAAUUUUGUAGUCCCUCUAGAAGUGAUGUUAAAUGCGCAACAUCAUUCAAGUAAUUAAUCCACUUAGAAUCCAUAGUUUUUGUUGAGUAGAGAAGUCUUCAACAAUGGAAUUCCAUCACAAACUAAGAACCUUUUUUGUAACAAAAAGAGGCCAAAUUUAAUUUGUUCACGUAAAGUGUUACAAAAAAAAGUCACUCAAUUUUAUAUUAUAAAUAAAAAGAAAGAAUGGAAACUACCAAAUUAUGGAUUAUACCUGAUUAUGGAUUCAAAUAAAACUUUGUCUCAUAUAUAUAUAAAACUUAUAGCUUAGCUUAUAAGUUUACUUUAGAAAGACUUCCACAUUUUGCUUCCAAACCGUCUUUAAAGUUGAGGGACCUAAUAUUCAUUAUACAAAAUUAAAAGUCAUGAUAUGUAAAUAAUUAAUAAGGUCGUAGUUGUACAAUCUAUAAAACAUAUGUCAUAUUUGAAUAAUUAAACGGUCAAAGAUCGAGGAUGAUAAUGAUGACGAACUAAGUUGAUUCAAUGAACAUGAUACUUUUAUAUGUAUAUUCAUGUUAAUAUGAUGAAAAUUGUUGACAUGAACAAUAUUUGAAAUGUAAGAUAUUUAUGAUUUAGACUAGUUAACAAUGAAAUGAUGAAAAAGAGAAGGAUUAUAAGUUUUGAAACGUUACAAAAACGUUGGUUGAGUUAGGUCAUAUUUUGAAUAGUGUUGAAAGGAUGAUGUUUAAGAUUGAAUGCAUGCACACCCACCAUAUUUAUUUGAAGUGUGCCGGCCAAAGGCAUCAUCACAAAAACACAAAUUAAUUCUAUCAACACUUUGACUUUUUGACUCUCAUUAUAUACACCAAACUUCCCCACCUCAUGACUUCCUAAUGUUUAGUCUAUUUUUUCCAAUAGUGUGUUAUGGGGAUGAUCCAUUGCCCAUUAUGAACGAAGGGGUGAUUCCAAAUUCUCUCCAUAGUCCCACUUUUAUCAUACGACUUUCAAACGUGGAUCAAACUUUAGGUAUUUGUGUAAUGAUGUCAACCAUAUAUCGUGUCAUUUCAUUGAGGUUUUAAGUCUUAUUUGUAGUCGUUUGUCAAAAUUCUAGAAGCUUUUUUGUGACGGUAUUGUGUGAUUAUAUUAUAACAUCUAGAGGUAUAAUAAUUUGUGUUUGAAGUCAAGCAUAUAGAUACAUACACAAACAACUUCUCUAACUUCAUAAUAUUGGACAAAAGUAUAUAUCUAAAAGUGGUAUUUGCAAAGUAUAUAGAGAACAACCCACUAAUGAUACAAAAAGUAUUUUCAAAUUAGACGAUAAGAGUUCAAGAUGAAGGAAUCAUCAAAGUACGUUUAUCGAGAUCAAAAAACUUACGAUAUACUAAAAUAAUUUCUUAUAUAUAUAUAACAUGAGUGGAAAAUGUAUAAAUCGUUAGAAAAAUUUCUCAUUUUAUUCUCUAAUAUUAUGCAUAGUUUUUUGUUUUAAGCUUUGUGAAGACCCAUAAAAUGUAUUACAUAUACUUAAACACAUGGUUGGAUUGACAAAAAAAAAAAGAUGUUUUAAAUAAAUCAUUUUCAUCCAAACACUUUGUAUAACAACUUAGUUAUACUUAAUUACAUUCUUGAAGACAAAUUUGUUAAGUCUGACAUAAUCAAAGUGGAUGGUUGAUAUCUAUAGUUUCAAAAAGAAAAAUAAAUAGCAAAGAGAAAGUACUUGUGAAUUAAAUCAAAGCAAUGAGAAUGGUUAAUUAAGUAAACCAAUAUCCACAAAAGGUAAAAGACCAAGUUCAUUUCCCUUUCAAUGUUUACAAUAUUUUACACCCAAUUCUUUUAAUUUGAUAAAAAGGAAUUCAAAUGUCAAAAAGGAUAGUCAAGAAUAUUUUAGCUUUAAUGUUCCCUCAAGAUUAGGUAAGUUUGGCCAAAAGAUAUUGGAAGAGAGAGAGAGAGAGAGAGAUAUCCAAAGCCACAAAAAGACAAAUAAAUGAGCAAAAUACACAAACUAUUCAAAAUAAUAUUUUUUUAUUUUCUUCUUCUCUUUAAAAAUGAAGAAAAUGAACUUUGAACUUAAUCUUGUCGGCUUCUUCAAUACUUUAAUUUGAAAUUACAAUAUUAUUUCUUUUUAAAACAACUAUUAAUUAAUAAUCUUUUGUUAGAGACUUUUAUCUAAAGAAAAUAAAAUCUUUUAUUGGACUUUGUUACAUUCCUUACUUUGUACCCAACAAUUGUUUGAAGAUAAUAAACUAAUAGAAAUGUAAACAAAAAUUCUUACAUUGAUCCAAGAAAAAAGUGAUCGUGGAUAUAUAUAAGCAAUUAUUUGUAUUGAUAAGACUUCUACAUAUGGUCAUGAUUUGUGAAGUUGAAUGUAGGUAAGAAAAGGAAUGUAUAUAUAUAUUUCACAAGUUUUUUCCCUAGGUAGCCACUUUAGGUCAUUUUUAAAUGGGUACUAUUGGUAUAAAUUUUUAAGAUAUCGAUCCUUUAUUUUUUUAGUUUUAGUAUACAUUCAAGUUUUAAUUCCUUGAUCAAAGUGAGCUUAGUUUAACGGUAAUUGAUAUGACUUUCUAUUUUAGAGAUGUGAGACGUUCGAAUCUCUCAACCUUCAAUUGUUGUACUAAAAAAAGUUUCAAUUACUUGUAUAUAUUUCACCUCAAGCUUUAAUAAUUAUUUUUAUUCAUUUAGUAGUAAUUAAAACUUUAAAGGGAGAGAUUAUAAAAAGAAAAUUGAUAGGGAUUGAUUUAUUUUGAUGCAUUGUGAUAAAUUGAAUUAAUAUUUUUAUCGACGAAUUGUAAGUAACGCCCUCGAACAAAAUUUGUAGAUCCAACAACUGGCUCGAUUAUAGUCCCAUUUUGAAGUUAGGUUUCACGCAAUAACAUUUGCAUAUAUUCUAAUAUACUCCUCGUUGAAACUCAUGGAGAGAUAAUCAUUUUUACCUCAUGAUAUGCUCAUAUUUUCUUUGUCAACUCAUCAACGUGGAAUCCAUAUCUCUAUGCAUAUUGUAUAAUUAACUUACCAAUUAUACAUUUCAUUCUUCACACACACGCACACUAAAAAGAAAUCCAAUGUAAUUUUAUUUCCAUGCUACUAUUCUAGGCAACUUUUAAGUAGUUAGUCAAUACUUAAUUAGCGGUAAUUUGAUAUGAUCUUCCUUCUAUCUAUUGUACUAAAACGCAAACUUUUAGAUGGUUAAAAGUUGUUAAGUGUUUAUUGUGAAUUUUUUGGUCAAAUUUUGGUUGAAACAACACUUCAUAUAUUUUAUAUAUGUGUGUGAUCUAACUGUUGGGUUGGCCAUGCCCAUGCUCUAGAUGAACAUUAUUUAUAAUGAGCCCUCAGUCCAUGUAAUAUUCCUCCAAUUAAAUAUUAUAAACAUGAUGAGAAAAGGGAAAAUAAUAAUAAUCCAAGACAAAAUUAAAUGAGGUUUAAUAAUUAACUAAGAUUAUAUAUUGGAAAUUCAAAUAUCAUCUAAACUCAAAUACAUCUCAUCCAAAUAAGAAAGUUCACUUUCAUCAUCAUCAUCAUCUUCCUCAUAACAAAACAUACUUCUUCCAAUAAUAUUAUUGUUUUCUUUUGCUUCAAAUACUCUACAUACAACCCAUAUUCCAAACUCCUGUUCAAAUCACAACACAUACAAUCACCUUAAUAAAUCAACCCAACAAUAAUGUUUAAAUUAAAUAACCUAACAAUUCGAACAAUCUAGACUAUCCAAUCUAAAUUGUAUAGACUAGGUUAGGGUAACCCAAAAUUUAGAAAAUGUAACCAACAACUCACUCUAAUCUAACUCGAAUUUUAAAGAUUUGGUUCGAUUGGGUUGAAGAUACAAUCAUUUUGGGUUGCCAAUUUGGUCCAAAAACUUUCCAUAAUCCAACUCAAUCAACCCAUUUACCUUCACCUAAUUAAUCUCUAUACACAAUUAUAAAAUAUACCAUCAUUCAACCACUACUACAUAGUUUUAUGUUUUUCUCUAUUUAAUUUAAUUAUGCUCUUAGGAAAAUACAUACACUAGUUAAGUUUUUUUUCUUGAUAUGGAUUGUAUAGUUAUAUAAUCUUGUAUCUAUUCAGUAUUUGAACUUUUGGAUUACAAUUUAUGUGAACCUCCAACUUUAUCAAAUAGGUUAUUGAUUUUCUUUCAACUAUUUUUAUAAUUUACAUACCUUAGUGAUCGUAAAACAUUAAUAAAGCUUGAAGUCUAGAUUUGUUAUUAUUUUUAAAAAAUUUAAUAUGUCGUGAACUUAUUAAAUACAAAAUCUAAAGUUUAAAGACACAUUUAAUAUUUAGGAACCCUUUUACCAAACUUUAAAAGUUUAAGAGAUAAAUUUGUAAAUGAAUCUGCAUCCAAAUUAUCUAAAUACUUUUUUGGUUUUUUAAGCUUUUAAAUAUGAUUUUCAUUUUGGUCCUUAAAAUUUCUACUUCCGUUCCUAAGCUAUAAAUUUAGUUUUUAUUUGGUGAUAAUACUUAUCUAAAUUAAAAUUUAAAAAGUUACAUUUUGCCAUUGUGUUUGAGUUUUUAUUUCCAUUUAGUCUAUAAGCUUUAUAGUUUUAUACUUUUACUUAAGAUAGUAAAAAGACCAUAGUACCAAAACUAGUAAUUUCACAUAUAUUUUUUUAUUUAAUAAAAAAUUAAGUACUAAGUGCCAACUAGAAUGAACAUAUACUUCAUUUAGCAAAAAGUUUGUACUACAAAUUUCAAGAUUAGAACUUUAUUGAUUAUUCACUCCACGUAUUAUUUUUCUAGAAAAACACCCGCCAUACCAAUUACUUUGUCUGAUUUUGAGGGGAAAACAUGGUGAUCGAAUCUAUAACGAAAUGAAAAAGUGUAAAAUGAAAGAAAACGAAAAACGAGAAACAAGGAAAAAUAGUGAAAAUGUAAGAUUCUUGAGUUGUUUCACUUACUGAUUUUGUUUGUGAUAGAUUAUUGUUGUUGUUUUGAGAUGGAUGAGUAUGAUCAUGAGUGUUCAAAAGGUAGUUGUAAAUGUGAUACUCUUGCAUGACCCAACUUGUUUGAAUGGGUGUUGGUGAUUCAUCAUCUUCUUCUUGAUCACCAACAAAGAAAAUAUGAUAUUUUUUGAUACCCACUUCAUCCCCAUUGGCACCGCAAAAGAUUGGUUCAUCCAUUAAAACAUCUUUCCAAUAUCCACUCUCUGUUGCUCUACUUUCUCCCACUCUGCUGAAAAAGUAAUGAAUGUCCCCAUUUGACAGUGUUUUACCUGUGAAACACAAUAAAAUUUUAACUUUAAAAUAUGUGUUUUGGUUGUUUCAAUUUGGUUCAUAUAGAUACAAAAUUUAUAAAUAUAGAACUUUUACUUUUCACUUAGUAUUAUUGCUCUCGAAUUUGAAACUUAAAUGAAAACUAAAACAAAAACUCAAGAAACAAAAACAUUUUAAGUUCUAAUGAAGUCUACAAGUUUUAGAGAAGAUAAAACAAACUAGAAUCAAUAUUUACUUUAAAGGAAAACGUAAAAUAACACACACAUAUAUAUAUAAAUUUUAAAAGCAAGAUCUUAUGCUCUUCCAAUGCUCCUCAUCAAUCUAACUUAAAAGCUAGCUUGACUUCUUGUACCUACUGCAUGCAUAUAUAGCUAGCUAUAUUGUUCUUCGCAUAAUAAGAGAAAAGAUAGAGGGGGGGAGAGAGAGAGAGAGAGAGAGAUUAUGUAUAUAUUAUAUUAUACCAUGGAAUUGCCAAGGGUUAUAGAGAUGAAGCUGAAGAUGAGGAAUAAUAAUGGAAUUGGAAAAACGAUGAUGAGAGUUAGCUUUGUGAUAGAGAAAGUGAAGCACAAGGUCUUCAUCAGUUGGGCAGAAUCUAAGACCAGGAGGCAACAGAUUUAAGCUAUUAUUUCCACUUAUCCCACCUUCAUCCAUAUUAACAAACUCAAUCAUAAUAAUAUAAAUAACAAAUACACAAUAAUAGUAUUCUUUUCUUUUUUCUUUUUGAGGAGGUAACUAGGUUAAGGCCUAGUAGGUUUUAAUGGAGAAACUUUGCACCACAUUUGGCCUAUUUAUAUAUAGAAAUUAAAUGCAUAUAUGAAAUUAAAUUAAAUAUAUAUUUAAGAAGAGGAUAAUAUUAGUGCAUAUAUGUGUUUUGUUUCAUUGAUUUAAUAAAGGCAUUUUUUCCCAACACCAUGCUUCCUUGACCCACACUUUUGGAAUGAAAACAAAAUCAAAAGUAACUUUUUCUUUUGCUUUGUUUUUAUUGUAAAAGAGACACAAAAAGAAAAAUAAAGAAAACAGUAACUACUACUUUAUAUGGUCUACUAACACCAACUUGUGAUCAUAAACUUUAGGUUUAGCUUACAUUUAUAUUUUAUUUAUUAGGUAUAUGGUGCUAUAAGAUAAUGUUUAAGUUAAUGAUGGAAAAUUAUUUUCAACCAAAAGAUGAAAUUUUCAGUACUUUUUUGGGGGAGAAGUGACAAAGCAAUAGCAAUUAAAUGUUGUAAUUUUGUUUUAUUUAUAGAAGCAAUGAAUUAAUGGUAUUUAGUGAGAGUGAAAUGGUGUGGAUUGCAAAUGGAUGAAAUGAUAAAUGGGUAAUCAAUCAAAUCUGAACAUAGUGGGUGUCGUUGUUUGAUGAACUACUGCCUAAAUCAUUUUGUUUAAUCUAAUGCAUAAUUACGUUUAAAUUAUUCCCUCUCUUUGAUUAUUGACUUCACCAAUAUUUCUACCAAACAAAAAUAGAAGAUGAGAUGUAUUAAUCCACUAAAUGUUCCUUUGGAUUUUAAAGUCUCUAUCUAGUACAAUAAUAAUGACAAUUAUAUAUGUAGAGAGAAGAGUCACACCCUAACAAUUUAAUCGUGAAAGAAAUUAUUAACAUUUUGGGAUAGAUUUGAAUAAUGUUAAAUAUAAUCAUCAAUAUUGAUCCAAAAACUUAAGUUAAUAAGUGCACGUUCUAACGUUCAACAUUAUUAAUAUGAAUUCCUUAGGGUUGCUUGCUCAUGAACAUUUUGUAGUAAAGGAUCUUUCCAAAGAAAAAAAGAUUUGAGAGGUGUGAGAAUUGAUUAUAUAUUAAAGAUGAAAGACAAUUAUCAUAUAUUAAAAAUACUUAGAAUAUUGAUUGAUUUACAUAGUAAAGACAAGAUUAUCAAGGUAUUAAAACACUAAUAUAUACCUUCAAAAUUCCCAAUAAAUCAUACCAAUAUACACAAACAAACAGGAUGAAACGUUAGUUGACUCACCAAUUGAUCAAAAACUACUUUAAGUUUUUUUUAAAAAAAUAAGUAACAACAAAAAUAAAUAUAAAAAUUAGUAUAUUAUUAGAUUAAAAUACUUUGUGAAAGGGAUCUAAUAAUAAGUGGUGACAAAUAUAUUAUUUUAUGGAGUGAUGUAGAAUCAAAUCUAAUGAAGCCCUUAAAAUUAAUAAACACUCACGAGAUCGAUCAUUCAUUGUUUAUAAAAAAUACAUCAUCAUUGUUUAUAUGAAAGCAACUUCUUUCUAUUAUUUUUUAUUCUCCCAUCUCAUCAUUUUGUUGGAUGGGAUCUUAACACAUAUAUACAACAGAUUCUGCCAAUUAGAAUAUCUAUAUAGUUCUUUGAAAACAAAACAUAUAAUUCUAAUCCAAUAUAGUUGACAGACAAGUUUUACCACUCCAACACAAUUUUUUAUAUUAGAAACUUUGGUAACACUCUACUCCCUGUUAUGAUCACUUUCCUACAUAGGAGAAUAAACAUGUAUUUAUGCGUGCCAUUUAGUUGCAUUCAAAUUUUCUCGUGAUAGUUGUUCUUUAUUUUAGAAAUUCAAUUGUCCUAUACAUUGAAAUAGUUUAUAGAAAUGAUGGGUUUCAAUAUGCCUUUGGUUUCAAAUCAUCCUAAUUAGAAACACUUUUAUAAGUUUGAAUGUGCUAAUUAAUUCUUGUUAAAUUCUCUUUUGUAAUUUUAGUUUUGAGAGGUGAGAUUAAAAGGUGUGAGUAAUACUAAAGUUUUGAGAGAGUGUUCUUGUAAUUGAGAUUGGAAAAAGAACUAUUUAUAUUAUGUGUGAUAUAUUAUAACAAUUUUCACACGGUAAACUUCUUUUUAGUUAGUAGGUCAUGGUUUUUUUCUAGGUUAAGAGAUUUUCGUGUAAGCCUUGUGUUUUCUAUUAUUUUCUUUUAAUUUCUAUAUCAUCUUUCUACUUAUUUUGUCAAAGAGAUGAUAGAUUUUUUUUUUCUUCUAACAAUUGGUAUUUCAUAGCCUUAAAUUCAUAGUUUCUUGAAUGUUUGAGUAUACGUUUUAUAGUUACCGCACUAUUUAUAUACUUUCAUGUCACUAUUUAUAUACUUUCAUGUUAGAAAAUCGUAAACACUAAACAUUAAACGUAUUAUGAAUAUUGUGAAUUGGUUCACGCUACUUAUAAAUUAUUUAGAAGUGCAGCAAAUAUACGUUAAUUAGGUUUAUAAGGUGAAUAUGAAAUUUGUCAGUAUAGAAAUGAACUCAACUAAGGAGAACAACUUCAACUUGUACUGAUCAUAAUUGUAUUAUGAAUUAUACAUGAGAAUAAAGAGUGGUAAGUGCAUUGGCCUAAUAUUAUUAUGCAUGCUUUGGUUUAUCAAAAGCCAUAUCAUUACGUUACAACUCAUUAGGCUAUUCAAAAUGAUUCCCAUUUAUUGUUUUAGUUGAGAGGUCAUAUCUAAAAGCAUUUUGAAGGAAUAAUCUCAACCACAAAAGCGAAGCCACUUUUGUGCUUAUCCCAAUACAAAAGGAAAGAAAAACACUUUGCAAUUGCAAUUGAGUUGCAACCCAACUCUUUUCCCAAUAUUAUCUUAUUUAUUUAUUAUUAUUAAUUAGUUAAGUUUGAAUGCAACUUGUUUGUAGUUGCAAACAAAUACUAUAUUAUUUGGCAUUUGUUAUAUAUUUGUUUUGAUAAUCAUUUAAACUAUUAGAACACAGUUCUAUACAACUAAUAAGUGAUGAUCACCAUUAGACAUUUAGGAGAGAUUUGUAGUGCGAAAGUUUAAGAACCUAUAGUUUAAAAAUGGUAAUGUAUAGGAAAUCUACAAUUCUGGAGAUAACUAGACAUAGUAAAAAAUUUAAGAAUCUCUAGUUCCUUUACAAUUAUCAUGAUUAUAUGUAUAUCUAAUCAUCCAAAUUAGUUCUAGAGUAGUACUUAGCUUCAAUGUAUAACUAGUAUUAGUCCACGUGAUAUAGCAUUAGAUCAAUAGUUUAGUGCUUUUUCAAAGAAAUUAAAAAUGGUUGAUAAGAGACGAAUAAAUUGAUAGAUAAUCAUAACUAUUAAUUUUAUUUCUUGCUCCUUUUUUCUAACCACCACUCACUUUAAAAAUUGACAUAUGUUUCUUUUUCGAUAUAGACAAGGCAUUAUUAGUUCAAUCUAUAUAUUUAAGUUAGCAUGGUUUAUUCUUAACUCAAUCAUAUAAACAUGGAAAUAAUCUUUCACCCUAUACUUACCUAGAAAUUUAAUUCAUAUUAGUACCUAUAAUAUAGGUAUUUCAAAAUCAAUAAAGGGAAGAAUAAUGAAUUGAAAAUCCCAUCAUUAGUUCAUCUUGUUUUCAAUCCUUACAUAAAAUUGACACAAUAUCCUAGCAUGCAUUUAAUCUUUCUUAUUGAUUUUAAAAGUCUAAUUUAUUUUAUAACAUUUAUAAAAACUUUUAGACUUAAUCAAUCAUUUUAUCAAUAUAUAACCUUAUAAAAACAUUCAAUUAAUAUGGAUUUUAAUUUAUUUAACUUUAAUUAAAUCAUAUUUAAUUUUAAUUUAAUUAAAUCAUAUUUAAUUAAAUUAAAUCAAACAAUAACUAAUUAAUUUGAUUAAAUCAUAUUUAAUCAAGAAUAACUUAAUUAAUUAAUCAUAUUAAUUAAUUUCCAUAUUAAUCAAUUAACAUGCAUACAAUACAAUAUAACAUUUAUAUUAUACAUUUUAAUGCAUGAACAUGUUAACCUAUGGUGGGAUUUUAAAUCUAUAUGACAUUCAAAAUGCACAUACAAAUUUAAAGUAAUUUAAUCAUACAUCACAUGCAUAAAUAAAAAAACACCCUAAAAUGGACUGAUUUUUGGCUCCUAAAUUAAGUUAAGUACUAAAUUAUUACAUAAUUAAUUUGGUGUAGUACAGAACCACUCCCAAAAACUUCGAACCGGCUGAAAAACUAACCGAAACCCCUUGAACCGGCCCAAAAACCAAAUUUAUUGGCUUGAACCGGCCCAAUUAACUAAACAGGCCCAGGCGCACACGGGUCGGGCGCAGGCGGGCGCGGCGGGACAGGCAGGAGGGCGCGCGGCGCAGGAGGGCGCACGGGCGCAUGCGGGCGCGCGGCACAGGCGGGCGCGCGGGCACAGGCGGGCGCAGGAGGGGCGCGCGGCGCGUGGGACGCAGGCGGGUCGCGCAUCGGGUCAUGACCGGGUUUUCGGGUCUGUGACCUUCUUUUCUUCAUUUUUUUUCAAUUCUCUCACCCGGUUGAACCCGUUACAGCCUAACUUCAACUCUAAUGACUUUUUUAGUUUUUAAAAAAUUACAAACACUUUGCAACAAUAAAAAUAAGCCAUUAACAAGGCUAAUUACAAUAAUUAGAACAAAAACACUUAAUCUAGAGCCAAAUUCAUAAUAUAUCCAUUUUAGUUCAAACCAAAAUUUAUCUAAUAAAUAUGAACCCACCACAUACAAUUGGGUAAAAAUGAAGCAUGCUCUGAAACCACAUGUACCAACUUGAUCACCACAAGUCCCAACUUGAUCACCACAAGUCCCAACUUGAUCAUUGAUGGUACUUGUGGUGAUCAAUGAUCAAGUUGGGACUUGUGGUGAUCAAGUUGGGACUUGUGGUGAUCAAGUUGGGACAUGUGGUUUCAAAGCAUGCUUCAUUUUUACCCAAUUGCAUGUGGUGGGUUCAUAUUUAUUAGAUAAAUUUUGGUUUGAAAGUAAUGGAGAUAAAAUGGGAUUGGAAGGUUUCUUUUUUCUUUUGUUGAGAUGAUGAAAAUGAUAAAAGAGGCAAAAGUUCUUCAACAUUUGAAAACACCUCUAUUUAUAACCUAAUUACAUGCAAAAAUGCAUGUAAUUCAUUUGCCAAAUCUCAACACCUAAUGUUCCACUAACAAUUAGUGGGCUAGGUGUCUAUAUCUCAUAUAGCCACAUAUCCCACUAAGAGUUAGUGGGAUUAUCCAACAAAAUGUUGGAUUUUUCCACUAACUUAGUCCAAGGGUAAAAUGGUCAUUAGAUAUUUCUAGUCAAAAGUCAAACUUUGACUUUUCUAAGUCAAAAGUCAAUAUUUUGACUUUUUACCAUUUUGUCCGUCUUGACUAAUUCCAACCUCCCGAGCAUGAAUCCGCAUUCAUUUUUCCAAAAUUCAAAUCACAUUUGAAUAUAAGGCCGGUCAAAGUUUGACCUUUUCAAAGUCAAAAGUCAACAUUUUGACUUUUUACUAUUUUUGACCAAUUCCAUCAAUUCUGAGCUUCUUAGUAUGAAUCCGCAUUCAUACUUAUAGUAUGUAAAACAUAAAGCUCUAUUUCUAAUUAGAAGACCGACGACUAUAUCACUAUAUUUGUCGGUUUCCCUUUCUUCUCCCAAUUCGAAACAAUUCGAGCUUAUUUCAUCACACUGUUCUAAGUUUAAUCCAUAUGAGCUAGCAGAGGAACCUAAUGGACCUAUAGAUCAUGGGCUCCAACGAUUCAAGAUUAACUAGCUAAACUCUUUUAAACCGAGUUAAUCAACAUUCGUUAACUAACGGGUCAUUCCACUAAAGUCCCGUAGUUGCACUCCCCUCACUAUAGAUAUAUUUGUGUCCAUUUGAUAAAACCAUAAUCAGUAAGUUAAUCCUUCACAGGUUGCUCGUAACCUUGGCUGGGUCAAAAUACCGUUUUACCCCCAAGAUUACAUCUUGCUCCUUAAGUCCCACUAAUCCACUAUUGAACAAUUGGUUUAAGGUUCAACCUAUAAACUUAAUCCCUCUCGGGCCAAUGAGAGGGUGGGGCCCCUUGUUCAAGACUUGGAUUCAGUGCUUAAGAGAGCAACCUAUCUACUAACCCUAAAGCGGGUAGGAGUGAAUUCCAUCUUGUACCCUAUGUUCCCAGCUAUCCACCGAUCUUACCCCUGAAAUGGGAGGCUUAUUGGGCCAACGCUGAUGAGCUGCCCUCACCUAUGCAGAUCUAAGGAUAAUCUCGUGUGAACAGGAGUUCAUAGUUAACUCAGGAUUAAGACUAAGUUACCUAGGUCAUCAAUAAUUGAGAUAGUCAGUUUUAAACAGUAAACGGUGUUAUAACGUAAAAAUGACUAAUUCAUGGUUCAGUCUUAUGUAAACAUUUUACAUAGGAUGCCCCCACUUUCAUGUCUCUACAUGAACGAUUAGGAUCACCUCGUUUGUACUACAAAGUGGGCCGCAUCCAUAGUUUCUCUAAAUAAGGCGCCCAACCUUUAUUUCAUAUACUAUAGACUAUUUAGGCUAUAUACUCGAACUUGAUCCACGUUUAUGUUUACACAUAAAGUUCAAGUUUAUUCAAAAAAUAGCCUUGGAACUUGAUUUAUUGGAUUUAAGAUUAUAAUAUUUAAUUUCUCAAUAACAACUUUAUUGAACAGAAUAUGAUUUACAAACUACGAGUUUUAGGACAAAAAAUUCCAACACUAAAGAGGUGCAAGAUAAAAAUAAAACAAUUAAACCCUUCAAAAACAAGUUUUGGGAUAAAAAAAAUGAGUAUGUGGCAUCACUGGUCACUUUUUGUGGAAAUUUUUUUCAAUAUUAUUCAAAAUGAGACUAUCUAGUAGUCAGAUUUGAAUUUUCGAUACUUUUCACAUUGUUCUAAAUUGGGUCGUUUCUUUGUAAGCUAUAGCAUGGACAUUUUUAGAACCGUUUUGGGUGCUACCAUAAUACAUCACUAAGGAGCACCAGUCUCGACCAUUAUGCAAUUUUCUGUGUCAUAGAGUAAUGCAAAAGAUAGGAUGUCGCACUUAUCAACCCACAAUCAUUGAGUUAAAGAGGUGCAAGAUAAAAACAAAAAAAAAAAUUAAAAUAAACGCUUCGAAGACAAGUUUUGGGACAAAAAUAAAACAUGAGUCUUAGAGCAUCAUGGAUCAGGUUUUAGUUUUUGUGGGGAAAAAAACUUUAAUAUUACUCAAAAUGACACAAUCUAGUAGUUAGAUGUGAAUUUUCGAAACUUUUUAACAUUGUUCUAAAUUGGGUCGAUCCCAAUUAAUUUUCUACUUUGUAACAAUGUUUCAUUUAUGUCAAUGGUUAGGUUGGAACAAGAUAUAAGCGUUAGGUAUGAAAACGGGUCAUGUUUGUUUAUUUUUCUAGAAAAAAAAAAUUGACAUAAUCCAACUCAAAUUUGGUUUCACAAAGAAGUUGUUCGACUUGACUCGGAAAAAAAUUAGAAACAAAGAGGAAGACCUUGAACAACCUAAAUUUGAUAGAAUUUAGGUAAUGAAAAUGAUUUGAAGAUCCAUGAAUGUGAAGGGCAGCUCAAUUAGAUAUGAAGUACAUAAUGAUCAUGUUGAUUAUUAUUGCAUGCAUUUAGGUUUGAAAACCAUGAAGUAUUGAGAAAACAUAAAAGUGAAAUUCAAAGUUUAAUUUGGAUGAUUGGAUGUUUUUGUUGAAUAUGAUUUGGGAUAGACACUAUUUUUCCACCUCUCUUAAUUCAUCAUUCGCCAAAUGGCUACACAAUUAUAUACAUCCAAUAUAUAAGAGAUAUAUAAUGAUGAACAAUGUUUCAACUUUAAUUAAAGUGAUGGAAUCAUGGAAAUAUAUGUAAGAACGAUGAGUUCGCAUGCCAAAUUGCCAUAAACCACUCCAUCUUCAUUGAUUUCAUAAGUUAUAUGAUAACCUUUUCUUUUUCUGUUUUUCAUUUUUUACUAUAGAUUUUUUAAAUUAUUAAUUUCAUUUUUCGUUUUCAAUUUUUGAAAAGAAUAAACAUUAGUAAGAUUGAAGAUAAACCCAAAUAAACAUUGGCCCAACAUAAGAUAAAACCCCAUUAUUAGCAAAAUGGGCUCAUAUGGGCUGUAAGCUUAUAAGGGUAACUACCCACGUGGGUCAUGUCUAUCGUGCGGUCAGCCGUCAACUCCAUAAUGGGUUGGAAUCUUUUUGGAUCUGGGCUAAUUGGGCCAAUUGGGUUUGCUCCAUUUAUCUUUAAAGCUAUGUUUGCUCCAUUUGAGUCUUGCACUCAUCCGUAUAACUCCAAAAGGCACUUGAGGCUUCUAAAGCUAGCUAGAUUUUCUCUAUCAAUAAACAAACUUGAAGACAAAGUUAGUAAAUUGGAUUAAGUGAUUUUAGUUUCAUUAGAGUGACCUAAAGUAAAAAAGUAGGAGAUGAGAUCUUCUGGUUUAGGGAUACACAGAGUCGUCCUAAGAUUGAUUUUGUGGAGUGAGUGGGCAUCCCAUUGGGUUUAACCAAACAACAUCUAGAGAUGUGAGAAAGGGUUGAAAUAGUUGGAUGGAAGAAAGAGAGAUGAAUGGAAAGGAAGUAAGUAUUCACGGGGUAACAAAAGUUUGAUAUUAUUAAAAAAGAAAAAGAAAACAAAGAGUUGAAAACAUGGAAAUGAGUUGUAAGGAAGGAGUGAUGGAAAAGUUUGGUUGGGUACCCAUUGACCACAAAACAAUGGUUCACGGGUGCCUUUACACUCUCUCACUACAUCCUUUUUUUAAUCACACAUUCCAACAAACACUAAGGCCAUUUUUCUUUUAACAAACAUAUACAAUUUACAUUAUUGAUAUCUUUUCAAUAUUUAACACAAUAUUAUAUAUAUAUAUAUAUGAAAAUUUGUAUGGAUGAAAAAUGAAUCAUAACGAAAUCAAUUUAUUUAACUAUUUUAAAAAAAACAUUAAUUUCAAAUAAAAACAAAGGAAAGAAAAUUGAUGUAUAAUUUCCACACAUAAAUAGUUUUAGGGCAAAGGACAAAAUAGAAAUAGGUAACUUUUGAGGACAACCAAGCAAUUUUUGAAAAAGUGAAGAAGAGCUGAAUCUUCUCUUUUGCUCUCAUCCACAAAAAAGAUUUGCCCAUUUUUUUCAUCUAUUUUUCCUUCAAUUUUAACCUUUUGUUUGAAUAGGAAUUAAUUCUCCACCACACAAAAUAAUGAAAAGCUCAUAAAUCCAAAUGCCUUUCUUACAAAAAUAUAAUAACACUAAUCACCCUUCAAUUUUUGUGGUCCACUAGUUUUGCAUGUAAAUCCAAAUCUUUGGACCCAUGGGGUGGAAAAAUUGAAUAAAUAUCUAAAUUUUUAACAUACUUUAUACUAAAUAUCAAUUCAUACAAAAAUAGAUUAUAAAUGUAAAGGAGUACUGUAUAGAAUAGAGAAACACCUCAAAUUAACUACAUAAUUUUAAUUAACAUUUAAGUUAACUAUACAUUAUUGUUUACUACAUGUAACAUUAAUACAUAAUAGAGAGAAAGUUUACCAAAAGAAUGUAAAUUGAACUUAUGGGUUCACUUGCAUGGUAAAAUUAGUAGUUACAAAGUAAAAAUGUUAUUAUUAUCAUCCCUAUUAAUAAACCUUUCUUGUUGGCUAAAAUAAUAACAAAGACAUGAUUGAGUAUUAAUUUAGGAAACCACAUAAUAAAAGUGCUAAGAAAUAGAAGGGAUAUGUUAUAUUACUUUAUAGUAUUGAAUCAAUUAUAAAGGUGAAUGACAAAAAAUAAUGGAGUUAGAUUAGAGUAAUGUAUGGUCAUAUGUACUUAAUAAUUAAUUAUUCUUUUACAUUAUGUCAUGUUUUUAUUUAUUUAUUUAUUUUUUUUUGGUCCAAUUCAUCUAAUUAUCAAUACAUUAAACUUAAUUAUUCAAGUUCCUUUUGACAUUAAAACUCAUCAUUUUAACUCUAUGAAAGGAUUUGGAUGAAAUGUGCAGUUGUAAGAUUCCUUACCAUAUCAAUUAGCUAUUUGUAUUUUUAAUUUGAUAGGAUGAUGUAAUUAUCAUUCUACUACAUAAUAAUACAAUUGAAUGAAGAUUGAUACAAACAAAAAGUAGUUGCAAAUAUAGCAAUCAAACCUAAACAAUAACUCAUCAUCUUUCAGUCUCUAAUAAGUUUGAAGUAGUAAGAAAAAAGAAAAGAAAUGAAAUGAAAAAACAAAACACUAAGAAUAAUUAUAUUUAAAGAAGAGAUAGAAUGCCAAUGUUGGCAUAUUGAGAGAGAGAGAGAGAAUGAGAAUGUGAAGAAAACAGUGUGUGUGUGUGUGUGUGUUUAAGGGCUUAGAAAGAAAGCAGUGAGCUGAGUUAGUAAGAAAAACCCAAAUCAGAAGAAGAUAACUGAAAUGAAGAAGCAAGAAGAAGAACAACAUCAAGAACAAGAAGGAUGCGACAUUGAAGCCAUAGGAAUCACCUACAAGAUUCAAAUCCAUAACUCCAAAUCCCCAUUUCUCAACUUCUUCUCCACCUCAAAACCCUCCCUCCGCCAUCGCCAUGUCCUUUCCGACGUCAAUUGCCAAGCCAAAUCCUCCCAAAUCCUUGCCAUUGUCGGCCCCAGCGGUGCCGGAAAAUCCACUCUCCUCCAAAUCCUCGCCGGCAAAACCACCCCUCACGGCGGCUCCCUCCUUCUCAACCACCUCGCCGUCGACCCUUCCUAUAUCAACCGAAUCUCCGGCUACGUCCCUCAAAAAGACUCCCUUUUCCCUCUCCUCACUGUCGAAGAAACUCUGACCUUCACCGCCCGCCUCCGUCUCUCCCUCCCUUCUGCCGUCCUCACCGCCAAGGUUACUUCUCUGAUCGACGAACUCGGUCUGACCCAUGUCGCCCGUUCCCGAGUCGGCGACGACCGAGUCCGUGGAAUCUCUGGCGGCGAGCGGCGGCGGGUUUCAAUCGGCGUGGAAGUGAUUCACGACCCCAAAGUUCUUAUUCUUGACGAACCCACUUCCGGUCUCGACAGCACUUCCGCUUUUCAGAUCAUCGACAUGCUGAAAACAACCAUGGCUGAAGCUCAGCGAAGAACCAUCAUUCUUAGCAUCCAUCAACCUGGAUUCAGAAUCGUGAAGCUUUUCGAUUCCAUUCUUCUUCUUUCCAAUGGCUCUGUUUUACACCAUGGCUCUGUCGAACAUCUCGGACUCAACCUCACUCUAAUCGGCCUUCAACCUCCUCUUCAUCUCAACAUUCUCGAAUUCGCCAUUGAAUCCAUCGAAACAAUCCAACAAACCCCAAAUCAAACCCAAUUGUUAAUCCCUCACUCCCAAUUAAAACCCCCUAAAUUCACCCUGCAACAGCUAUUUCAACAAUCCAAAGUCAUCGACGAGGACACCAUCAAAAUCGGAAUCCACAAAUCAAUCCCUCACCAUUUCGCCAAUUCCCCAUUCAAAGAAACGGCCAUCCUCAUGCACAGAUUCUCCAAGAACAUAAUCAGAACAAAGGAGCUUUUCGGUUGCAGAACAGUACAAAUGUUGGUAACAGGGCUUGUUCUUGGUUCAAUUUUCUACAAUCUCAAAUUCGAUUUAAUUGGUGCUGAAGAACGCGUGGGGUUAUUCGCCUUCAUUCUCACAUUCCUAUUAACAACCUCGAUCGAAGCCCUCCCAAUUUUCUUACAAGAAAGAGAGAUUCUAAUGAAAGAAACCUCCUCAGGUAGUUACAGAGUAUCCUCAUACGCCAUAGCCAACGGAUUAGUAUACCUUCCGUUUCUACUAAUCUUAGCAAUUCUGUUCUCAAUUCCAUUAUACUGGCUAGUGGGGCUUAACAGAAACAUAAUAGCGUUUCUUCAUUUCAUGCUGUUGAUAUGGCUGAUUCUAUACACAGCAAAUUCAGUGGUGGUUUGUUUCAGUGCAUUAGUGCCAAAUUUCAUAGUGGGGAACUCAGUGAUAUCGGGGGUAAUGGGUUCGUUCUUCCUGUUCUCGGGGUAUUUCAUAUCGAACCAGGAAAUACCAAAGUAUUGGAUAUUUAUGCAUUACAUAUCAGUGUUUAAGUACCCAUUUGAAGGGUUUUUGAUAAAUGAGUUUUCGAGAUCAGGGAAGUGUUUGGAAAUGAUGUUUGGGGAAUGUGUAGUGAGAGGAGAGGAUGUGCUGAAGGAAGAAGGAUACGGGGAAGAAAGUAGGUGGAGAAAUGUAAUGGUAAUGGUGGGGUUUGUUUUGAUCUAUAGAUUUGUUUCUUAUGUUAUUCUUAGAUGUCGAUGCUGCAGGAAAACUGGUUUUGUUUAACAGAAAUGAAGAAGAACGAAGAUGAAGAAGAUGAAGAAGAUUGAAGAUCGAAGAAGAAGAAUAAGGACAAAAAAAAAUCUCUCUCUUCACGAGUUUGGAUUUGAAAGAUGCUCUUAGUUCACGUGGUAGUUUUAAUUGUAGCCAAAGGUUAUACUCACACGUGUUUCUUUGUUCUUUCGGAUUUUUAUUUUUAUUUUUUGCCCUUUCUCUCUAACUAUAUAUAUAUAUAUAAUAUAUGUAAAAUUUUCUUUUAAAUUAACAAUUUGGUGUGUGGUUUGUUCAUCUAAGUUCAAAUUUAUUCAACCAAUUAUUUAGUAGAGAAAAGCUUAAAUGGUGAAAGUGAUUUUAAGUAAUCAAAAUUUCUUCUUACAAAAAUUGUGAAGUAUCAUGAAUAUUUCUUUUACAUAAUUCUUUUCUUCGGUAAAAGAUAAGUUCAGGUUAAACAAAACUAUUUUUUUAUUUAUUUGCCAAAUAUGAUAUUUAACAUAUUAUUACUUAUGAAACACAAAUAAAAGAAAGAAAGAAAAAAAGAUCUGUAAACAUAGAUUCAGAAAUCCAUAUUAAUAGAGAUAAAUCGUGUUAAUACCAUUAAAACAUACAUGCUUUGAAAGAACUAAUUUCAAAUGUUAGUUGUUUUAGGAAAAGAACAAGCAAAACCGAGAACAAUGACUAAGCAAACAAAACGUAGAUCCAAUCACAACUUUCAUAUAUGCGUGAGUAGUGUCACCUCAUUUCAACAACAAUCAUGGUUCAAGAUUUGAUUUAACUAACAAUUCUAUUCAUCACUCCCUAACUAUAGAAUCACCAAUUCAAUCAAUUAUAUCACCAUCAAAGAAAGAAAAAAAAUGGUAAAAAGUAUUUUUAUUUUUGAAUAAUUGAAAUGCUCCAUAGUUUUCAACCUUUAAUAGUUUAUUUAACAAAAAUUGUAAAACAUAGAAAUAUAUUCUAAAUAAAAUAAACGACAUAUAUCUCACAACUCCACCUUAACAAAUUUAACACUUGAAAAUAAACAUCAUGAAUGAAGACUAAAAAUCCAAACUUUCAAAAUUAAUAAAAAAAAUUCUCAAAUUUGAAUGAUUUUUAGAAAAGCUCUACAAAUAGUGUCUCUUCCCAAACUCGGUUAUUCCAAUUCUUUUUCUUUACCGUUAUUUUCCCCCUUCUUCAUCAAUAAUUUAUAAAACACUCUCCCAAAUUCCAUCCCCACCCCAUCCCUUCUUCUAUAAAACAAUGGACAAACACACGGUAACCUCCGAUGAACUUCUCGGAAUCAAAAUCUACACCGAAGAACACGCCAACGGCGGUGGGCGGAAAAGACGAGCAAUGGCAAAAGGAAUGCAAAAAACACGCUCAAAAACCUCAAUGCUAGCUAGUAAACUUCCUUCCAACCGGCACUCUCCUAACCUUCGAAAUGCUUCUGCCGUCGGUCUCCGGCAAGGGGGAGUGCACGCGGGUGAACACGAUGAUGAUAUAUAAACUUCCUCUUGGGCUUAUGCGCUUCUAUCCUGUUUCUUGUUUCACUUCACAGACAGUUUCAAAUUAGGCGUGGACGGGAAAGUUUAUUACGGGAUCGUGACGCGGAGAGGGCUGGCGGUGUUCAAGACGGGGUUGAGUGAGGUGGAAGUGGCGAAGGAGGAGAGGUUAUGGAAAGCUUUCCUUUGAUGGUGGGAAGCAUUUGUAGUGCUUUGUUUUUGGUGUUUCCUAAUACUAUAUAUUAUAUGGUAUUGGUUGUAUGGCUAAUUGACUCUAUUACCCCCCACCUUUUUUUUCUUUUUCUUAAUUGUUAGGAUUUUUUUAAUAAUUAUUAUUCUAAUUUUACUAAACUAUAAUCACCAAUUCAAUCAAUUAUAUCUAUAAAAGAAGAAAAAAAUUGGUUAUAUCUAUAAAAGAAGAAAAAAAAUUGGUUGUAUGGUCGUGUAUGUUGCCAUGGCCUUUGUUAAUUCUUCGAAACUAGAAAGAACAAAGAUCUCACAUAUUCAUACAGGUGGAAAAGAUAGAAACAUGCAUCGUUUUGAUUGAAACUUCUUUUAUUGAUAGAGGACGAAAAAACAAAUACAAGUAGUCAUACACCUAAAAAACGAUCAUCCAAAUCAAAAGAUAUGACCUAGAAACUAUCCAUUUCUCAUGUGUCGUCAAAUUUUGCCUAAUUGCUUCUUAGAGAUAGUUUGUUUUAGCUCCAUUUUCGUCCUUACACUCAAUUGUGCUUCUUUGAUGCUUAAAACCAGUAAAAUAAUCAAACAUAAUAAGAACCUAGAAUUAAGUGAAGCUAGAUAACAUAUUUAUGGUGCUAUCAUUUAUUUACCAUUUCACACUAUAAUUUUAUUAUUUCUAGUUUAUCUUACCAAGCCAGUGUCAAUUUUCUUUUCUCAUUCUCAAUGUUCUUUUAUUUGCUUCAAAAAUUCAAUUUGAAAAAAAAAAAUGUGAGAAAGUUGAGAAUUGAAGAGGAAAAAAAAGAACAAAAUUAGUUUUUUUUUUUGUUUAUUUGAUUAAUUAAUUCAAGAAUGUUGAUUAUGUUUGAGUAUUGACAUGAAAUAUUUAUCGAAAAAUUAGGAAGAAUUUUCAUCAUUUGUUGAAAUCAAAGUAAGGCUCUCUCUAAAAGUGCUUGUAAAAUUUGGUAACAAAAUAGGGUUUAAACCAAAAGAUUAUAAAAGAAGAAAAAAUAAUAAUUACUAAUAAUUAAUUAACAUUGUUGGGGCAGCCCAAAGAACGGUUGUGACCUCCAUUGCAGAAACAGAAGAACAAAGCUCAUUUGGUUGUAAAACCAAUAGAACGAAUCGAAAGCCUCCCUUGAGAGUUAUACAGUUGAAAAUGGAGCUUCAAGAUUUUGCGCCAAUUUUUGGUAAACCCACCAGAGUGGAGUGGGUAAACAGGGGUUCACUUUCUUUGCUCCAAUUUUUGUUCCAUGUUUAUUCUCCAAAUCCUUCGCACCUCAGAUUUCUUGUUACUGAUUUUCAUUCUAACACUUGGGAAUCCACCAAAUCAGCUUUCCAGCUUGAGGAUAUGGUGGGCAUCUUUGAUUUCUCCCUGUACGUCGUCUCUUUGUUGCAUCCUUCUUCUUUGAUUUCUAUUAAUAUGUUGUUCUUGCUUCUUUUUUUCCUCUUAGCAAAUGAUGAAAUGGGAUUGUUUUUUAGAAUUUGUUGGUGCGAAAAGCUCUACUAUUUUAUGUAAUCUUUGAUACAGAGAGAUGACAUUGGAAUUGGAGGGGCUUUUUCAGAGUUUGUUGAUUAUAUUGUUGCAUCUAUGAAAUUUGGAGAUGUAAGGCUUUGUAUGGAAGGACAAUCGGGGAAAGAUGGUAAUCUUCCUGAUAUGUAACUAAUUCAAAUUCUCUUUCCCAUUCAAUAUAUUGUGAAACUCACUCCUUUUUUUAUUAUUCUACAGGUGCAGCAUCUGUCAAACUAAUUGCUCAGAAAUCAAAGGGAAUGCCUGUAUUUUCCAUUUCUCUCACAAAACUUGUUGACUCUGCUGCUGCUGAAGCUAUGGCAACUAUGUCCUUGGGGCUUUUUAACUCAUUAAAAGAAAAGGAGUGUUCACUUAUGAAAGGUUUUCAUCGCUUAUCUAUAGACUGCCUAUAUUCUGUGCUAUAGUCAUCAAAUAUGUCGAUAUCGUUUGGUUAGAAAAAAAAAGAAUACAUUUUUAUAGUGUUUGAACAGAAGGAAAGAUGUUGGAGGUUCUUAUGAAAUAUAGUGAUCGGGUGGGCUCAGUGUGUGGAUCAUUCUAAUUAGAUGGAAGGAUAGGCAUCUUUAGUUUCUUUUCCCUUUUUGUUCCAUCUAGAUUUUGGUAUUUGGCUUUCAUUUCUCUCAAAUAACUUCUCACAGCAUUCUACAAAAUUGUUUGGUAUUUUGUUAAGGCCUUAGCCACAAUUUUAUUUAUCAACUAUGGGGAAGGAUUUGAGAGUUCCCCAAUCUCUCCACACUACUCUAAUGAGAGUCUAUACCAAAAUCAUUUAGCCAAAAAGAUACCCACCCCCAACAUUCACAAUACCUAAAUAGGCAAACUCUAAGAAAGCUAACAGAAUACUUGGCCCCACUUUAACAGUCAUACUCCUAAGGGCCCACCUUACGGGAAAUUACUAACUAACUCUCAAUCAUUCUUUCUUCUUCCCACUUUUAUUCCUAUGUGAAUACACCUUUACUAUGGGGGGUCUAUCAAAUUUGUAUCUGAACAUUGGCAUGUUGCAUUUUUUGUUAUGAAUUAUGCAUAUACAAAAUAAUUGUCUUAUAUUCAAAUGGAUAUAUUAGAAUGUGUCAACUCUCCGGUGUGUCUGUGAACUUUAAGAAUACCUAAUUUUGGUUCCAUUCGUAUGUGAUGGGCCAAUCCAGUCAAGCUGAUUUGAAGUAGGGAAAUAAACACAGUACUCUCAAUCAAAUCUGUCUUGGGAAGCUGUUUCUUUUUAGUCUCCCAUUGGUGUGGUUUUGUAGGACUGACUCAAAUAUCAUGUGCGAACUGCUUGAAAAUGUUUGUACUUGAAAAUUACUUUGUUUAGACUUUAGGGUACCGUGUUUAUUGAACAACAAACUACGUGAUGUACAUGGUUUUAGUUUUUCUUUCUUUAUUAUUAUUAUUUUUUUUUGGUAACUGUGAUAGCAUAGUUUGAUGUAAUAUUCAUUUAUAGGUUAAAUUUAGAACAAGAUUUUUCUCAGAAAUGUUCAAUUUUUUGCAUGCUUGCAUUGAAACUUAGCAUCUGUAGCAUUGACUUUUCUCCUAUACUGUUCUUUCAGAACAAGAGCACUCCCUUCAGUUGACAACCAUGAUAUCAACUGAAAAGGUAUAUCCAUCUUCGUCUUGCACCACUGUAAAUAAAUAUGAUACAUGGUGAUGGGCACUUUUAGUUUUAUACUUAUCGAUAGACUUCAUUAAUAAAUACAUUUAAUAAUACACAAUAUAACGAUAACAAGAUUUCUUCUGAUUUCUUCUCUUCCACAGCCUCUCUUAUAUAUCAGAACUCAAACAGUUUACUCUAGUCAAUACUGUUCCCUGUUAUUAGUCUGCAUAUGUUUUGUUAAUUUUUACUUCCUUUGAAACUUUAUUUAUUAAAUGUUAAUAAGAAAAAAGAUUAAAAAUUAAAAAUGAAGAACACGGAUGUUCUUUAUGUCUCACUUAUUCUUUCAUUAUAUAUGACCUCAUGUAACUUUGUUAGCCAUUUCUUGGUUGAAAAACAUUUUCCAUUACAAUACCAAUUGCUUCCUUAUCCCCUAUGGAUUCAACUCAUGGGUCUUUGAGUUUCUCUAUUUUUGUAUUAAACAUUUCUUAUUUGAGAUUAUACUUUUUGUUGAUGUCAGGAAAAGAACGAAAAUAUCCAAACUCAGCUCGGGCAAUAUAGAAAGAAACAGAAGUUACAAAAUAUGAAUGCCUCAAAUUCUCCUGGUAUGUUCCUAUAAUCAAUCCAUUUAAGGUAUUAUGAAAUUAUAUGUUAUGUACUAAAGGACUGAUCGAUUUUUUCCGUUCUUCACAGAUAAAUCUGGCGUACAUAAUAUUGGCUUGACAAAAGCCACCAAUCGUGUGGUGCCAGUACACCGGAGGUCGGUUUCUCAAAGUUACAUUCAUCACAUAAUUCAAUUGAUUUAUUCCCAAUACUAAUAGAUGUACUUAGCAUUGUAUUUGAACAGGGCGAAAGCUAGGGGUGCCCUUCUGCAAGACUCUGAAGAUGACAAUGGUAGGUAGAGAAGUUGAAUGUCUUGUAUCCAAUCUAGUUUUGUACAGAAUUUUGAUUUCUGAAAAGCUGCUCUAGCCAAUCACUCUCUUCCCUUUGAAUGGAGAAAAAAAAUCCCGUGGUAUUGAGUUCCUCAAUGGUUUGCUUAAAAAGGAACAGGAAAUCCUUGUUUAGGGUCAAGAGGCUAUCUCCCUGUCGUUAUCCCAAAGCUUUAAAACUUUUGUUUCUUCCAUGCAAGUUUUACUUUCUAGCACAUCCACGUUAAAUGAUCUCAUUUUUUCAUAUAUUUUCUUUUAAUCUACACUAAUAGAGAUGUUCCUUCCAUUUUUUUCCCAUUUUUUCUUACAGAAAAAGAGCGCUCCCUUCAGUCGACAUUCGAGGAAAAGGUAUAUUCAGUCUCCUGUCCCCUUUAUGAAUAAAGCACUUUGUCCUUUUAUAGACGGGUUCUUAUUGUCUUGAAAUACCUCAAAAUUAGUACAAGUAUGACCAUAGUCGUGGUGUAUUUUUGGUGCCUUCGGAGCGUAUUUUCAUCUUGCUCAUUAAUUGUUUGUAAAUUUUUUAAUCUACUUUUGAAUAUGUCAGGAAAAGAAAGAGGGGUUGCUAAAUACAGAUACCUUGGCCAUUGUAGACAAUCUUCAUAAGCCUCCUAGUAUGUUUUUUAUGGUUCCCUCUAAAAUUUAAGCUUAUUUGUUUUUAUUGAAAAGAGAGACAACGAGUUCACACCAAUUUACGUGGAAACUCGAGUACCGGGAGAAAAACCACGAUUGUUUGUUGUUAUUAUUUUCUAAUGAAUAAAACAAUAGGUACAGGGAGAAUAAAUAGAGUACACAAUGGAAUAAAAAAGGAAAAGAUUUAGGAAAAUAAGGAAUACAUUCCCAUAAUCUUUCCAUAAUUAUUCUAGGAUUCUAACAAGGAAAAAGCCUAGAAAAAAAGGAAAGAAUUCCAACACUCCCCCUCAAGUUGGGACGUAAAUAUCAAUGAGGCCCAACUUGCUAACGCAAAGUCGAAGUUUGGUCUGAGAAGCCCUUUGGUAAGAACAUCAGCAACCUGUUGACUCGAAGGGAUGUACGGAAUGCAUAUGCUCCCACUGUCAAGUUUUUCUUUGAUAAAAUGUCGAUCAAUCUCAACAUGUUUAGUUCUAUCAUGUUGAACAGGGUUGUUAGCAAUACUAAUAGCGGCUUUAUUAUCACAGAAAAGCUUCAAUGGUGUCUCACAUUCCUGAUGAAGAUCUGUCAAAACUUUCUGAAGCCAAAUUUCCUCACAUAUUCCUAAACUCAUAGCUCUGUAUUCAGCCUCAGCGCUGCUCCUGGCCACAACACUUUGCUUCUUACUCCUCCAAGUUACAAGAUUGCCCCAAACAAAGGUACAAUAACCAGAGGUAGAUUUUCUGUCAACAACAGAUCCUGCCCAAUCCGAGUCAGUGUAUGCCUCAAUGGUCUUUCUGUCUGUUUUUCUAAACAUCAGCCCUUUACCAGGUGUUGAUUUUAAGUAUCUCAAGAUUCUGUUGACAGCUUUCAUGUGUUCCUCAUUAGGGGUCUGCAUAAACUGGCUGACAACACUCACAGCAAAGGAAAUAUCAGGACGAGUAUGAGAUAAGUAAAUUAAUUUACCCACGAGGCGUUGAUACUGUUCUUUAUCAACUGGAACUUGAUCAUCAGAGUUUCCUAGUUUGCAGUUGAAUUCAAUAGGAGUGUCAGUGGGACGACAUCCUAACAUACCUGUCUCGGUUAACAAAUCAAGGAUGUAUUUUCUUUGAGAUACGGAGAUACCUUCUUUAGAUCUGGCCACCUCCAUUCCAAGGAAAUAUUUCAAAUUUCCCAAAUCCUUGAUUUCAAACUCAUCGCCCAUUCUCUGCUUUAGUUGACUGAUUUCUGCCUGAUCAUCUCCAGUCAAAACAAUGUCAUCCACAUAAACUAUUAGAACAGCAAUCUUUCCUGUUUUGGAAACCUUUGUAAAUAAAGUAUGAUCAGAGUGUCCCUGCCUGUACCCUUGGGACUUGACAAAGGUAGUGAAUCUGUCAAACCAUGCUCUGGGAGACUGUUUCAGACCAUAUAUAGAUUUCUGGAGUUUACACACAUGCUGACCAAACUGGGCUUCAAAUCCAGGCGGAGGGCUCAUGUAGACUUCCUCUACGAGGUCUCCAUUCAAAAAGGCAUUCUUAACAUCCAGCUGAUAUAAAGGCCAAUCUUUGUUCACAGCAACAGAUAACAGAACUCUAAUAGUAUUCAACUUAGCAACUGGAGAAAAAGUUUCUGAAUAGUCAAUACCAUAGGUUUGAGUAAAUCCCUUCGCAACUAACCUUGCCUUGUGUCUGUCAAGAGUACCAUCAGCUUUGUAUUUGAGAGAGAACACCCAUUUGCAUCCCACAGUUUUGUGUCCCUUAGGUAGAGUACAAAUGUCCCAAGUACUAUUCUUUUCAAGAGCUUUCAUCUCUUCCAUGACAGCAUUCUUCCAUUCAGGAUACUUUAAAGCAGUGUAGAUAUCUUUUGGUAUUAUGGUAGAGUCAAGGCUUGCUGUAAAAGCUCUGAACUGAGGAGAGAGACUAUCGUAGGAAACAUAAUUGCAAAUGGGGUGUUUAGUACAAGACCUGGUGCCUUUUCUCAGAGCAAUGGGAAUGUCAAGAGAGGAAUCAUACUCAUCUGAUUUUCCUGUAUGACCCUGUUCCGCUUCAUUAUUACGGGUUUCUAUUCUGACCUCAAUCUCAUCACCACUGUCCUUUUCUUCCACGUUUUCAAGAACAGCAACAUUAGACCUGUCAUUCUCACUUAUCAUAUUCUUAGUACAGGGUUCAGUAGGGUUUUCCAUACCUUGAUCUCGAGGAGGUUCAGAGUCUUGGACUGGAGCCGGCGGCUGACUAGUAGGGGAACCGACUUCCUUUUUGUGAUUCCUCCUGUAGUACGUUUUCCAGGGGACUUGGUUUGUGGGUAGGACUAUGGAAUGAGGAAUGAUGUUAGACACGACACUAGGAGUGGGUUCGAUGAAUUCAAAGGUGUUGUUAGACUCUUCACUCACACUCUCCCCCUGAAGAUGGCUAACGGGAAAGUAGGGUCGAUCCUCACAGAAAGUAACAUCCAUAGUGACAAAGUAUUUUCUGGAUGGUGGGUGAAAACAUUUAUAACCACGCUGGUGAGGGGGAUACCCAACAAACACACAUGCCUGAGCCCGAGGGGUAAAUUUGGUUUGAUUAGGGCCAAAAUUAUGGACAUAAGCGGUACACCCAAACACACGAAGAGGAACCUCAGAAACAUGACGAGUCGAUGGGUAGGACUCCUUAAGACAAUCUAAGGGAGUUUGAAGAUGAAGAAUACGAGAAGGCAUUCUAUUGAUUAAAUGAGCUGCUGUAAGAAUAGCAUCUCCCCACAAGUAUGAAGGAAGGGAAGUAGAAAGCAUAAGGGAACGGGCUACUUCCAGAAGGUGACGGUUUUUUCGCUCGGCCACUCCAUUUUGUUGAGGAGUGUAGGCGCACGAGUUUUGAUGAACAAUCCCCUUGGAAGCAAGAAAUUCACUAAGGUUAUGGUUUUGGAAUUCCCGACCAUUAUCACUCCGAAGAAUAGCAAUUUUUUGAUGGAAUUGUGUUUCAAUGGUGUGAUAGAAAUUUUGAAACAUAGAGGAAACCUCAGAUUUAUCAGUGAUAAGGUAGACCCAGGUAAGACGGGUAUGAUCAUCAAUGAAGGUUACGAACCACCGUUUUCCAGAUGAGGUUGUUAUCUUGGAUGGUCCCCAGACAUCACUAUGAACAAGAGUGAAGGGUUGGGUUGGUUUGUAUGGUUGUGAGGGAAAAGAGACUCGAUGUUGUUUGGCCUGAAUACACACAUCACAAGAUAAGGUAGUCAUCUCAACUUUAGAGAAGAGAUGUGGAAAUAAAUGUUUCAUAUAUUGAAAAUUAGGGUGGCCUAAACGAAAAUGCCACAACAUACAAUCUUGUUCAGAAGUAGUGAAAUAGGAAGAUAAGAGACUAGUCCUAGGAAUGCUACUAGAAGAGGUAUCGUCAUCAAGGAGGUAGAGUCCCCUACUAUGCCGGGCAGUGCCAAUCAUCCUCCCCGAGCUCAAGUCCUGAAAAGAGACAGAAUCAGGUAAGAAUAUUGCUUUGCAGUUUAACUCAUGAGUGAUCUUGCUUAUCGAAAGCAAAUUAUAAGAUAGUUUGGGCACAUGCAAAACAUUAUGUAAGGAGAGCCCUGCACAAGGAGAAAUCUUCCCCUUUCCAGCAAUGGGGGCCAAGGAGCCAUCUGCAAUUCUAAUUGUCUCGUUCCCAGCACAAGGAAUGUAAGAUACAAAAUGUUCAGAGGACCCAGUCAAAUGAUCUGUGGCACCAGAAUCCAGAAUCCAGGGGUUCUUCCCAUCAAUACUAACAAGACCGAAGGAAUGAGGUAUACCUGAUUGGACAAUGGCACCUAAAGUGGCAAGACUGAGAUCAGUUUGGUUUUUGUGUGGAUCGGAUUGUUGAGGAGGUUCAGCAGACUCACUCACAUACGCCCGCCCUGUGUUCUGUUUGUCGUUGGAAGGGCGUUUCUUACUUCCUGGGGGACGACCAUGUAACUUCCAACAUUGUUCUUUGGUAUGCCAUUGUUUUUUGCAAUGCUCGCAGACAGGAAUUGGUUUUCCAUUAUGCUUGUCACUGCUACUGUUAGAAGAUCUUGCACUAAAAGCAGCAGAGUCAAUAGUAGGGGUUGCGGAAAUAUUCAUAGCACUUGUGCGAUCUUCCUCGAGGCGGAUUUCAGAGCAAACUUCCAUCAGGGAGGGAAUCGGUCUUUGACCUAGUAUACGCCCUCGAACUACAUCAAACUUAGGAUUAAGACCAGCAAGAAAGUCAUAAAUCCUGUCAUUCUCUUCAAUUCUCGAGUACUGUACACCAUCAGUGGGAUCACGCCAGACUAGUUCUCUGCAUAGGUCCAUUUCUUGCCAUAUAAGAGAAAGCUUAUUGAAAAAGGAUGUGACAUCCAUGGUUCCUUGCUUGCAUUCAUGAACUUGCUUUCUCAGCGUGUAUAGACGAGAGGCAUUCUGACGUUUUGAGUAAAGUGUCUGGGCUGUGUCCCAAAUAUCCUUGGCUGUUGCAGCAAACAAUAACGGCUUGCCAAUUUGAGGUUCCAUACUAUUGAUCAAUAUGGAUCGAAGAAUAGAGUCUUCUGCCUUCCAAUAUCGUUCAUGUGGGUCGCCCGGUAGGGGGCGAGGUAUUUCCCUGUCAGAAAGCUAAAUUUUUGUCGUCCUUCGAGGACCAUCUUUACUGACUGAGACCAUGAGAAAUAGUUGUUGCCAUUCAACUUUUCUCCUGAAAGAUGAUACAUGGAAGACUGAGCCACCGUAUUAGUCACAUAAGGAGAGGAUACAUUAGGGAACGAGUUUACCGGAUUCUCAGAAUACAUCGGUAGAGUGGAUGUCGUCCCUAAGGUAGCCUCAAGUGCUGCUAUCUGUUGUCGAAGCCCUUCCAAUUGUUGAUGAACUAUUCCCGAGGAAGCUUGCACGUUACGGUUGGAAUAUGCCGAAGAUUCACCAACCUCAAAUGUUGAGUGAAUUUGAGAGUUUUUAACAUCGGGAUGGUAGCUAGGAUCAUUGGGUGGCUGGCCAUACAGAUUUGACGAGCAGAAGCGGUGGUAGCCGAUUGGAAUUAGAUGGCAGAACAUAAAUCGGGGCGUGGGGAGCAAUAUAGGCCGCGGACGAAGAAAAGGGUUGGACAGAUGGGAUGGUCGGCGCCGUCUGAGGAAGAAAACCAGGCGCGUGGUGGUCCGGUGACGGCGCGGACGACUGCGGUAAUGACGAAAAAUUAUUUUCGGACGUUUUCUGUAGCCGGCUUAAUAAUUCGUCCAUGGCAGCACUCAUCCGAGCAUCGGUGGCAGCAGCUACGGCAGCACUAAAAUUGAUGGUUGUCCCUUCUGUUUGAUUUUAAUCAGUGGUUUGGUUUUUUUGGGUUUCUAGGGUGUUUUCAUUGUCCCGCUCUGAUACCAUAUUGAAAAGAGAGACAACGAGUUCACACCAAUUUACGUGGAAACCCGAAUACCGGGAGAAAAACCACGGUUGUUUGUUGUUAUUAUUUUCUAAUGAAUAAAACAAUAGGUACAGGGGAGAAUAAAUAGAGUACACAAUGGAAUAAAAAAGGAAAAGAUUUAGGAAAAUAAGGAAUACAUUCCCAUAAUCUUUCCAUAAUUGUUCUAGGAUUCUAACAAGGAAAAAGCCUAGAAAAAAAGGAAAGAAUUCCAACAGUUUUCAAGGUUUAAGAACACUUUUGGUCCCUGAGCUUUCACGAAAGUAAUAAUGUAUUUCCUAAACUUUAAAAUGCAAAAAUUUUGUCUAUUUACUUUCAACUUUGUAUGGACUUUAGUCUCUAUGAUGAAAGUGUUCAUUCAAAUUAAGUGUUAAUUUAUAUUACAUAAUGGCUUAGUCUUCAUAGUUUAUAUGUGAAUUUGAUCAUCAAUGAGUUAUAAACCUACCCGGGUAAGAAACUUAACUCAAUCACAAUAAUAAUUUCCACCAUAGAGAUUUGGUUCUUACUAAUUGUAAAUUACAAGAACUAAAUUGUUACAUUUUAAAGUUAAGGAACUAAAUUGUUAAUACAUUUGCAAGAAUGAGGACUAUCUUUUUGUUACCAACUAAAGUUGAGGGUCAAAAUCGUUAGUUUUAUGCUAGUUUAGGGACGAAAAGUGUUUUUUAAUUAUUCGCUACACAGAACUCAUUAUUGAAUUAUCUUAUUCUUAACAGACAAAUCUGUUCAUGAUAUCGGCUCGACAAAAAUCACCAAGCAUGUCGUGCCAACACAUCACAGGUUGGUUUCUUGACUAAAUGAACCUAAUUUUGUUUGUUAUUUCCCCACGAACGAUGGUAAACAUACUGUAGCAUUGUACUUGAGCAGGGCAAGAACACGAGGUGCCCUUCUGCAAGAUAACGAAGAUGACGAUGGAAGGUAAAAAAAACAAGACAGUUUCAAAAUGUUGAGUCCUUGUGUUCAAAACUAGUGUUAGACAUGGAGUAGGUAAACAAAAUAAUAGAUAUGAUUGUGCAAUGCAGACAUUUCUUUGUUGUAUAUGAUUACGUAAUUCUCAUCUAACUUUGGCUUUCUGCUCAAUUUAGAUUCGAAAAUGUGUAAAUUUUCGAAUGACGAGUAGAUACAAAUUUGAAAUAUAUUGUGCAGCUUAAAACAAGUCACAGUGUGAGACUUUUCAUUAAUUUCUCAAACAAAUCAGCACUUGUUGACAACUUUAUAUUACCAUAUGAGUUAGCUUGAAAAAUAUUAUUAUUAUUAUUAGAAUGUAGAACACAUUUUAAUUUCCAAUAUAUCACGUUCUACAAUUUUUUAAACAUUUAUUUUCAAAACUCUUGACUUUUCUUUAGAAAAAACCAAAAGCUUUUGUUCCAAUAUAUCAGGUUGUAGUCUUUGGCCCUUGAAUUUUGUUAACAUUUAUUUUCAACUAUAUUGACUCUUUCUUUAGAAAAAAUAAAAAAAAAAUUCAAACGAUUACCGAUAAUAAAAAUAGAUAAAGAUAUAAUUUGAAAGAUAUUUAUGAAUAAGUUUAUGAGUAAAAAUAGAUAAAGAUAUAAUCUAAAAGUCGUAUCAUUAAUAAAAGUUUAUCAAAUCAAAAAAUUUAUUACGAAAAAAAAAUAUAGAUAAUCUAACGAAGAGGGAAUCCAAAAAUGAUGAUGUAAAAAGGAAUGAAAAAGCAUUAUCCCCACACUUUAGUUUCUCGUACAAUGAGAACCAUCCAAAUUGUGACAAAGACAGAAAUGAGAUAAGCACAAACCACCAUUAUUGCAAUACAACAAUCAACUAAACUCAAACUCACUCACUCACCUAGACACAACUUUUAAUGCACUCUUUUUGAAAAAGCUUUCCCAAACAAAAGAAGAAGAAAAAAAAACUUAUAUAAUGUGUUGUAUACAAAUUAUUUAUGUUUAUAUGCAGAGUUGCAUUCAUGAACCACUGAUAUAUAGUGAAACUGAUAUGAGUUGUAACUUUUGUAGUUCUAUUUCAUUGGUGCCUCAUAUGGAAGUGGUGGUGAUUGGUGGGUCAUAUACUCAUUAAGAACAAAAAUAAUAAUAAAUCAAAUGAAAAAGUUACUUUUUACUUUUUAGAAAAAGCGAUUGCAAAUGACUAAGUAAUGGAGACAUUGAUAGGUCUAUCAAUAUAUUUAUAUAUAUUAGGUGAGGCAAUUGGAUUAGAAUGAUAAAAUAGCAACUUUUAUCCAAUCAAUUACUUUAUAAAUGUUAAAAGAAGAACGAAGAAAGAGUUGUUUUUCAAAUUAAGCAACAUAAACUCUAUAUUUUGACAACAAAGUUAAAAAGAUAACUUUAUAUUUUUCUUCUUCUUUUAUAAAGAUAUGAUUGAACAUACACCAUUUCAGGAGGUGUCGGUGUCCACUAACAUUAUGCCCAUCCCAUGGUUGCUUUCAUUUCAAAAGGAUCAAAAUUUGGAUAUGAACUCUUACAUUUUGCCUUUUGGUGUUACCUAACUUUUCUUUAAUUAAAAUUAAAGUGUGUUUAGUUUGGAGCAAUUCUAUGUUCGGUGACUUUUUGAAAAUUUUCUUAGAAUGGAUGUGAGUGAAAACAAAACAUGCUGAAAUGACUCUAAUUGGUUCGUGGAACAACUUUCACUCUAAUAAGUCUUUAAGACAAGUAAGAAUGAUAUUGUCAAGUCGCAAGUAAUUAGACGUUACAGAUAUAUAGUUUUAUUUAUAUAUAAACACAUAUCUACAUUAGUGAGGGUCAUACGUUUUACAGAGUGUUUGUAUUUACUCAGUAACACUAAUAUCAUUUUCACACAUUUAAAUUUAUGCACGUUAUAGAUUUUAUUAGGUAUGUAUACAACUUAAUAACACUAGUAAGUAUAAUGUUUUGUUGGUGUAUAUACAUAUAUACAUAAUACGUCUACGUUUUUGCAGAUUAUUGAUUUAGUAACUUUCUUUGGGUGAAUUCAAUUUGUUUUUUUUUGUAACAAAACUAAAUUGUAAAGUCUAGUGUUAGAAAGUAUGGUUUCUCUCCUUCACCCUUUGUUUAAUAAUUUUAAUAAUUUUAAGUUUUAAUAGAUUGUGUUCAUAUUAAGACGAUGGCAUAAGCAGAGUUGGGUGUGGGGCACCGCCGUCACCACCACUACCAAUCUUCAACAAAUCACUUUAACGACGUAUGGGUAAAGGCAGUUAGUAUUAUUGGGUUAAUCAAUUUUAAAUACAUCUUGUACCACUAAAUUCUUUUACUUUAUUAUCUGUUUUUUACCAAACCAAAUCUUUCUUACACUACAAGAGUUUUUUUUCUUUUUCUUUUUUAUCUUUAUAAAAAAAAUACAAACCAUCAUAAUAAGAAAUUAAGAAAGAAGUAAAAGUUAAAAAUCAAAGGUUAAUCAAACGGAUCUUCAAUGUUGAGCUAUUACCAUUUAUAUCCACGAUUUGUUUAAAUAAUAUUUAAAUUCUAAGUCUUCAGUCAUUUUGUGAUUGAGUAAUUUUUAAUAUCAUCCUUCAGAAAAGAAAAGGAUUAGGAUUAGGAUUGUCCUAAUGGGAGUGGGAGUGGGAGUGGGGAGUAGAGAAUUUUGUGAGGAUGAAGAUGGGAUAGGGGGGCGGGGACGGGGAUCGGUAGUGGCAUCCCCGGCCCUCCUCGUCCCGUGGACAUCUCUACUCCUCAUCCCCGUCCCUCACCAUUAAUACCGCGCAUAAGGAGUGAUCCAUUUCCGAUAACGAAAAUCGUGCGUGGGGAAUGGUCCCAACGCUCGACGCGCAAGUGAAACCGUCGUGUGUCGAGUGAUGGAUCUUACAAGGUGGGUGGGAGGGGACGGGGGGGGGGGGGGGGGGGGGGGGGGGAAUAUUUAUAAUUUUAAUUAAGAAGGAUAGAUAUUGAAGAGAGGAAUGAGAAAUUAGAAUGAAAUCAAAACAUUAUAUGGUAGAUGAAACUUAACAUAAAUCAAAGCACAUAGAAACUAAAUAGAAGAGAGAGAGAGAGAGAGAGUUGGAUGAAUUCAUUUGUUGGUGGUGGAGGAUGAGUUGGCGGCGAUGCCGAAGUUGCCUGUGGAGAGAAAUUGGUUUUUGAGUGCGCUCCUCGACGCCGGAUAUUGAGAAGAAUAGGAAUAACCCGGAUAUGGAGUAGUACAUGGUUUCGAUUUCCGUUCGGCGCCGGACUUCAUUUUUUCUCCGUCUUUGUCUUUUGAUUUUUGCUUAUCGCUUCUCUCACUCAUCUUUUCCCCUUUCAUAAUAUUAUCUUCCACCUUCCAAAUAAUAAUAAUUGAGCUUGAGCCACCCACGCAUUUAUAACCUUAAUUUUACACGUGUCUUUUUCUUUUUACUCUUUUAAAUUUUCCAUAAAAUUACAUAUUCUAUAUACAGCUUACCUUCAUAAACCCUAUCUACUGUUGAAUCACUUUAUCUUUACUAUUUAGGAUAAUUUUCUAUAAUCAUAAAGGCAGAUGAAAUUUUAAUUUGGUUGCUAUGAUUCCAAAAAAAUAUAAU
rnacentral:lncRNA from 1 species